rnacentral:lncRNA from 1 species
UAGUAGAAAAGCUGCACAUCCUCUGAUUCAUCAACUCCUAUAUACCUGGUUGUACAAUCUCAAAACUACUUCAAUCUUUCCCAAGUUAAUGCACCAGAAAUUAACUUACUGUUACAAAAAUAUUGAGUUACCCACCCGGUUUCGAGUUCAAAUGGCAGAGGUCCUUCGAAUCCUGGGAGAAACUUAACAGGGGAACCAGCCGAAGCAAGGUUUGAACAUAAUUGCACAAGAACUAGCGGCAAAAUCAGGUAGCUGAAGAGAGAGGAUCGAAUGAGAAUGCGCAGCUUCCCAGUUGAGCAGCUUGGCCUAACAUGUUCUGUCAUCUCUUUACUUGGCGGAGUAACUGUAGUUUUCCAACUCCAACAAUGGAUAUGCUUACAAUUCUGCUGAUGCCCGGCACUGACGCUCACUCUGGCUGUUUCUUCUCACAUCUUCUUUCCAUAAUAAAUAGAUUAAAAACUGUGGCUCCUCCAGAGUCCAAACGUGCCUAUUCAAUUACCUAGGUAGGAGGAAGUACGAGGUGCUCUUCUCUUCUUCUUUUUUUUUUUUUUUCCCAGUGAAUAAGACAGGUAAAUUAGCUUGGACGCUUCUCGUCGGCGGACCUUGAGAAAAACGUGUCCCAGUCCCUAACGUGACCUCACUGCUUAGGUUGCUUGACAAUUGACAUUGUACUUUGACAGCAUGCAAUUGAGUUUAAACGUCGUUUUUAGCCAUUGAAGAAGCAAUGAACUUGCCCGGACCGAGCUGACCUGACGAGCUCGGCGUGCUGAUGAGAAGAGCGUGUCACAAACCUGCAAAGUGAACAAGAGAAUGAUCUCGCAGGGGAGCCCCGAGGUCGUCCCCGAGGGCACUCCGACGAUCAAAUUAGUUUUCCGAUGAAUGAGGUUCACGGGAAGUAAAAUGGUCCAGAGUAAUUGGCGAAUAGUGAGCGUACCUUGUGCAGUGGAUGUGCGUUACCAUUUAUACCUGCUUGUGAGUCCGACUUCCGUACGUUUCGGGACCUGUCACGAAUAGUCUCAAUCCCGCGCCGAGGGGAUUCUCCCCGCCCUCUGCGGGAUCGCUUCCCAGGGCUUCUCGGGGCCUGGGGUAUGUUUGUGGGCGAGCGGGGGGGCUGGUGGGAAUUACAGGGGCCGGGGGAGCUCGGCUAAGGAUUUACCAUCCGGAUGACAAGGACGAUAAAGUAUCGAUAAGUCUAAGACCACACAUUCGCCAGAAACUAGAAAAAGCGGUAGAAACUAGCCGACACAAUUGAUUCAUGUACGAUGCGAACGUGGCAUUUACACACCCGGGUGCUGUGUCAGGGACCCAAAAUAGUGGAGUAAUAAAAGACAGCUAUUUGGGGUUGGUAAACUUCAUUUGGUCCUUUGAACUCCAAAAUUUUAAUUCAGUCAGUCAAAUUGGAAAAGUUCAAUUUGGUCCUUUGAAAUACUCUAGUACUAUUUAGAUUGCUUAAUAGGAAUUUGGAUUUGUAAUACAUUAAUUAUUAAAAUAUAUUUUAAAUAUUAGAAUAAUUAGUAGCUUACAAAUGUAAAUACUUCCUAAAUAAUUUUAACUACUAGAUAGAUUUGAGAAGAUGUCAAAUCAUUUGUCAAAUCCCUUAAUUCAAACGAGUAUCAAUUUGGUCCCUAACAUAAAAUCUCAAUUUGAAGCAUGGAACUAAAUAAUUCAGGUUAGUCUCAUAGAAGUGAGAAAUUUUUUUAAUUUGGUCUUUUAAAUCUAUUAUGUUAAAAAAUAUGGGUAAAUAUGUCUUGUACUGACUAUAUAUACAAACUAUUGGGUCUAGAUACAUAUCGUGCAUAUAAAAUGUGAAACUCAAAUUCAAGUUAUGAUGCUCUAAUAUAUUUUGUCAGUGUAGCAAUUCAUCUGAAAAAUAUUAUAUCAUUAAAUUAUAGACAAAUGUUAUGUUUGUCAUCUUAUGAAACAUGUGCUCGCCUUAGUGAUUUACAUAAUAAAAAUGUAUUAGUUUACUCAUAGAGAAUCAAGUUAUGACGCUACAUUAUUUAACUAAUUCAAAAUUCCAAAAUAUUUUGAGAUAAAAUUAGAAGAAAGAGUCAAGAGAGCACAAUUUUUUCGUCGAAAAAUAAAGGUCGGUUUGCUUAUUUUUCUUACUGAAAAAUAAGGACUAAAAGUAAAAUUUAUUGUUUAAAAUUAAUAGGCAUACAACCUCCCAUUGAUUAACAUCUAUCUAAAAAUUUUGUCAUAUAAACAAAAGAGUAAAUUAUGUCAUUUAUAAUGCUAUUUGAAACAAAAAAUGGAAAUAAAGUGUUACUUAAAAACAUUAAUGAACUAACUAAGAAUAUAUGGUUAAUUUACCAGUUGGGAUGUCUGUACUAGUUGAGUACUAAUUUUAUUAAAUUCAGUAUUAUUUAGUUUUUUUUUACAGUCAAAUAAAUUUAAAAAAGUUAAAAGUCUGUCGUGUUUGGUUAAAUCGAUUGAUCAAUAAAUCGAAAACUUAUUUAGUUCAUUUAUCGAUCUUGAUGCAAAAAUAUUGAGUUGAAGCGAAUUAGUAGUUCAAUUUUAUAUUUCUCAUCUCAUGGUUAUGCUUGUAUUAGAAACCUCUAAAACAUAUCAAAUCCUUUCCUUACUUUGUUAUAUUUUCUUUUUUAUUAUUGUUUCCUUUUGUUCUUCACAAAACUCCCUAAUCUCGGCCAAUUUAGUUUAGGUGCUGAAUUACUUUAAUUUUUCUUUGCCUUUACCUCCAAUUUUUACAAGUUUGUGCUCUCACUCAUAUAAACAAAACACUCCGUGAGAAUUUUUAUAAUAUUCCAAUUCAUUUUUUAACAUUUUUUAGUAUAAAUAGGAGGGAUCGAAUCCAAAACCUUUCACUUACACUCUCUUCUCCAAACCAAUUAGCUAUAAAUAUAUAUGUUGAACUAAUUGACAGACUCGUACACUUAAGUAACUAAAGUAGAUAUGAUUUUUAAAUGCUGCUAAAAUUUGAUUUUUAAAGAGAUGGAUAAAGGAAAAAAGGAAAUAAGUUGCGUGGAGACAAAAUGAAAAUUUAGUGGAGAGAAAAUGCAUUGGAAAAAAAAAAAGUAAAGCGGGUAGAAAUAAAAUGGAUAUGCAACAAAAAAGAAAAAGAAAUGGAAGAAUGAAAAAUGAGUCAAGAGUACAGAAUAUUUACUAUAGAUCAAGAAGAGUAUUUGAUCAAAAAACUUGAAACGAGGCCAAACUUGAAACGAGCGUUAUGAUAACGAAACUGUUUUGACCUGAUAUAACAGGUAAAAACACUUUUAGCGACCAUUUGAUUACCUGUUGUACUGGUCAUCUAAAUAAAAUAGUACCUAAAAAUAUGGUUAGUAAGUUUUACAUUAAAAAUAGUAAAUUAACUCAAGAAAUUAGUAACUUUUAUGUCUCAAAAAGUAAAUUUGAAGAAAUAUGGAACUUACUUUUUUUUUUUUAAGUAAAUAACUACUCUAUAUCUAAAACUUACUUUUUGGAGAGUAAGUUUAGUUCAAAUAAUAGUAAGUUUUUAUAGACUAAUAGUAAAUAUUGUUGAUAGAAUAGUAAAUUUGGUUAAUCAUCAAAACUUACUAGUUUAUGGCAUAAAUUUACUAUUUUACUUAAAGAAACUUAUAUGGAACAAGUAUUAGGAAGUUUAUUUGAAAUAAUGCUAAGAUUUUUUAUUAAUAAUUGAAACUUAAUAUUAUAGUUAGUAAUUACUCGUAAUGUAAAUGUAUGAUACACAAUUGUACGUAUCAUUUAUAAAUGUUAUAUGUUUUAAGCAUUUUAAAUAAACUAUGAAAACUUUUUUUUUGCAUAUGACCUUAUAAAAUAUGUAAGAAUAAUUUGUCAUAUUAUAAAUUUUGAAUUAUUUUUGAAUUUGUGAAAGGUUAAAAAGUUUGGAUGACAGUAAAAAAAAAUCUUUCGAGUUAUAUAUAGAAUUGCACUUAUCUAUACAUCACAAUUUCCAUAUAUGGACACCGAUGAAUAUAAUAAAAUGGUACGUAAUUUUCAUAUAUUAAUGCGUAUGAAUUUAAUAAAAUGGUAAAAUCUUAAUAAAUUUAUUUUCUGGGUCACAAGUAUAAAAAUUAAAGUUGUAUUAACAUAGCAUAAUCUUUGAAAAUUAUAGUAAAAUUACCCAUAUGUUAAGUUCUGUGACUUUCAAACAUACUUUGUGUCAUUUACAUUAUGGAUUUGUAUCCAUAUGUUUUCUAUCAAACUUUUUUUUUAUUGGCAAAUGGUAAGUAAAUUAUUAUAAAAGGGCAUUUUAUAAUAAUCAUAAUUUUUAAUAGAUGAAUUUUAUAUAAACUGUUAAAAUUAUGAAUUCACAAACGACUAAAUCUGACUACUUUAUGGCACAUAUUAGUCUAAAUGACUAAAAAAUUACUGUAAUAAUGUGCACGUUGAUUGUUGAAUUGAAAUUUCCUUUAUUACUAGUACAAGUUCUUCUAAUCAAAGCAAAAUAAAAUCAAAUAUCUUUUCCUUUUGUAUGUAGUAGUUAUGCUUAAUAGAAAAUAAUUAAACCAUUUUUAUAAUACAUAAUUUCUCCUAAAAUUUGUAACAUUAACAUGACCUCUAACCUUGACAUCGUUAUUUAAUUUACCUUCUAAAUUUAAUUUAAUUUUCUUAUAUUAAUUGUUAUACUAAUUUUAUCAUUUUUGUUAUUAUAUUAUUUCUCAUUUUGUUUAGGCUUUUACUCUUAUUAUUUCUUGUGUCUCAAAUGUAAAUUUAUUAAAACUUUAUCAUCUUAUUGUAUUCAUAGGUGUUAAUUUAUAAAAAUUUUGAUACAUAAACAAGUAAUAUUCUAUAUAUAACUAGGAAGAUUUGUUGUUAUUAUUAUCCAAACUUUCAAACUUUUCAAAAAUUGAAAAUAAUUAAAAACUUAUAAUAGGACAAAAUUUUAUUACAUAUUUUACGAGAUUAUGUGAAAAGUCAAACUUUUUUCCAUAGUAUUUUAAAAUAUGUAAAUAAAUUUUUUUUAAAUGAUAACUAUAAUCUUGUAUUAUACAGGUAUAUUAUGAGUAUUUACUAACUAAGGUACUAAAAAUUAAUCAUUAAUAAAACAUCUUAUCGUUAUUUCAAAUAAAUUCCCUAACACUAGUUUGAAAUAUGUUUUAAAGUAAAAUAGUACAUGUGUCUCAUAAAUCAGUAAGUUUUGAUUAUUAAUCAUUUUUACCAUGUUAUCAGUAAGAAUUACUAUUUAUGUAUUAAAACUUACUAUUACUUGAAUUAAACUUACACUAUAAAAAGUAAGUUUGGGAUAUAAAGUAGUAAUUUAUUUAUUUAGAAAGUAAGUUUAAUGUUUAUUCCAAUUUACAUUUUGAAGUAUAAAAGUUACUAAUUUAUUACUGUUAACUUACUAUUUUAGAUGAAAAACUUACUUUUUUAUUUUUAAGUAUUAUCCUAUUUAGGUGGAUAGGCCUAUCAAAUAAUCAAAUGGCCGCUAAAAGUAAAUAAAAAAUAAAUUAAAAAUGGUCAUAUAAGUGUUAUCCUAUUUAUGUUUCAAAAAGUAAAUCGAAAUAAAAAUGAAUGAAAGUUACUUUUUUUAAAAAUUAAAUUAUUACUCUACAUUCGAAACUUAGUUUUGUGGGGAGUAAGUUUAGUUCAAGUAAUAGUAAGUUUUUAUAGAUUAAUAGUAAAUCUUGUUGAAAGAAUAGUAAAUUUGGUUAAUCAUCAAAACUUACUAGUUUGUGGCAUAAAUUUACUAGUUUGUUGAUUUGAAAUUUGCACCAAAGUCACUAUUUCGUUAUUACUACCACAAGUUUUUUCUAAUCAAAGUAAAACAAAGUCAAAUAUCUUUUCCUUUUGUAUGCAGUAUUUAUGUUUAGUACAAAAUUAGUAAACCAUGAUUACAUUUCAUAAUUUGUAAUGAAAUUAGUAACAUUUUCUAAAUUAAUUGGAACAAUUUGUAAAAUAUAUUAUUUUUUUACCAAUAUAGUUAGGGGUGGCAAUCGGGUCCAAAUCGUAUUGGUGUGUCGGGUUGAGAUCGGGUAUAAUAGAAAACCCGCUGAUCCGAACUUAACCUGCCAACCCGAAAUGGGUCUAGUUAAAGGGAACAGUGAUCCAUCCACCUCUUUUCGGCGGGAUUGGAAAGUUGACCUGCUUGGUUCUUCUGUGUCCAUGGAUGCAGGAAUUAACUGUUAAUAUGAGGCAGGUGCCUAGCUAAAAGUUUGUCCCAUUAUUCCUAAUUGGCAGAUUGUCAUUAAAUAGAAAGGCAGAUUGUCGUUUAGGAGUAAAAACUUCUAAUGCUCGCAGAAAUAAAUAAGAGUACGUGCUCCUACAACAGAAUGUAUGUUACACCGCCAUUAAUGUGGUAAGGGCAUCCUCCUGAACUUAAAUCACAAUUAGAAACGAACCAUAUGCUUGGUUUCAAACUCAAAAACUCAUUUCGAAAGCUCCAGAGUUUCGAAAUUCUUGCUUUAUGGAUACAAGCAAAUCACAUAAACGCACAGGUACUUGGUUAACACAGCAAAAAACUCCACGGGAAAGUUCAUGUCGUGCUUAUUUCUUAGAAGGAAAUUGCAGACUAUUAGUAUAGUAUAGCAGUCACAACACUUCCACAACACAUCUUCAAGUUUUCUGAGAUCUAUCCAGUUUAAAGCCUAAAAACCGUGUGCUGAGUAUUGUAUAACAUGGAGUAUUUGAGUUGCUUUUCGAGUUCUGCUCAUCAAGUAAGCCAGUCCAAUUUGAAGUAAACAACAAAAUCUACAUGCACAAGACAUUUGAUAUGAAAUUGGUAUUUCAAAAUAGGAGAAAACAGCUCAUUUUGAGCAUCAGAAUGAAUCUACUCACCUAUUUAUUUAGUACUUGGAAUAAACAAAGGUCCAUCUAAUUCAAAUUGGCCAACAAGUCACUAGAAAAUAGGAUUUCACCUCCUUACAUUGAAAUGCAAUGCUGGAUUUAAAGUUUCCAUGCAACGUGUUCUUCCACCUAAGGCCUAUAAUAUCGGAAUUUCAGCCUAAUUAUAAUGAACCGCACUUGCAGCAACUAGAUUAAUCUGAAAGAAGCAACAGCUGGUAGAGAAUCAGAGCAUAUCAUCAUAAGGAAAAUCAAUCAUUUGAUGCUUGCAUCGGCUUAUGUCUCUAUUGCUUGUCCAGGUUCAUGCAUGUAGUUUGAAUGUUUAACCACUAACAAAAAUAGCAACCUGAGAUUUAAUAUCAUUUACUAGCUUUUAAUAAUUGAUACUUACGCAUCAAAAUUAAGCUAGCAGGACACUAGAUAUAGCUAUCUAAGCAUGACAAGAUUACAUGGCCAAGAACUGAAUUUAGAGCACAAAGACUUUGGCUUCAGAAAUCUGAAGCAAUCAAAAGGCUAGUAACUUGAUUUGAGAAUUUGAUCACCAGCAUCAAGGGCUCUGAUAUCACUAUCAAAAGCUUCAGUUUGGAUUGAAAUUUCUGGUUUACAAACCCAAGAGCACUUGGAUGCUAACAAUAUCUGAAAUUUAAUCACCAAACUUUUUUCCAAGCAAGCUGAAAUUAUUCACAUUAAAACAAGUAAACACCAGAAAUUACAAACUAAGGAGAUUAUGUUCAGAUUUACAAUCAAAACGCAUUAAACUAUCUUCGAAGAAACUAAAAUCAUCCUAAAAGCUUUGAGCAAAGACGUGAAAAAACAUUUGUACUCUCUCAAGAAUAAAAUUCCUUAAUGGUCUUGGCUGAAAUCUGGUUCAUUCACUACAAAACCAUCACAAGAUUUGUAUUAAAAAAAAAGCCACAACAACACAUAAUCAUAGCAAAUAAAUAACAUAAAACUUAGGCGUGAAGAAGGAAAAAUGUACCUGAAUACUUUUCGUCUCCUAACAAGCUAGUGUUUUGUACAUGACUUUGGAUUAAUGAAGGAUUGCAUGCCCACAUUAAUGCCUAUACAAAUGCAAAUAGAGCACCAUUAUAUUUCAUGCCUUCACACAAAAAUAAAUAAAAGCAAGCUAUACAUUACCUGACCAGGAGGAAUGAUCUGAAACCAAUUACUAUCCAUUAAUUCCUUAUUGCUUCCAUGCUGUGAAUCUGAUUGCAAUAGGCCAUCGGAUGAUCCUAUCAGAUUCAAAUUUACAUUCUCAACAUGAUUGGGUGCCCCAACAUGAUCAUAAUUGUGAGUUUCAUAUGCAUCUGUGCACACCUUAGUACUUUUUCGUCUAUCAUGUCCAAAUGACCUGCGGGAAAAAAAUUGCCAAGCACAAUCCAUAAACAAAAAGAUUGAAUUUAUUCAUAUACUCCUUUAGUAUUUGAAAUAUCAUCUCCCUUUUAGUGAUCCCUCUUAUUUUUGAAAUCUUAACUGCUUACAUUUGGAAACUGUUCUAUGAAUUUUCUCUCCUUUCCUGACUGAAGAAGAGGGAAGAUGUGAUUCUACAAAAUCUACAUGUAUCAUAGGAUGGUAAUAAGAAUUGCUUCUGCAACACAGAUUUACAAGAGUAAUAAUGGCCAAAUUUCCGUGGCAUUGUAGACGUUACAAUGGAGUAAAAAAUUCAAGAGGCUGAUAAUAAAUUUCCAUAGAUGGCCAAAUUUCCGUGGCAUUGCAGACGUUAACAUGGAGUAAAAAAUUCAAGAGGCUGAUAAUAAAUUUCCAUAGAAACAACAUAUUCACAACAAUGAUUCUAGAUCAGUUCAGUUCAAUAACAUUUGCUCCAUCAAGCGUAUCAACUUAGAAUUCCAAAACGGGAGAAAUCUCUCUUGCCUGAAGAAUUCAAGUUAUAAAGCUCAUGUUGAGUUACUAAUACAUUAGUAAUUCUCACCCGCACAAAGUAGCAAUCACAACAUACAAAUUUCUCUUUGACAUUUCACCAAACAUCUUACAUGCAUUCACAAAUUAAUCACAUUUAACUUAAACGCCUGGUCUCAAGUCCUUUUCUAGAUGUUUCACAUGGCUAUUAAGCAUAUUUUACCCGUAGACAAUCAAAACUACAACCAUUUCCUCGAUGUUUCAACGGACAUUUUCGGCCCCAAAAUUGCAAUAAAAUCUUCAAAUUCUCAGCCUUGAUUUCCCAAGAAAAUCUUGACAAACAAAACAAAUGAAAUAUAAAUAAAUUACAGCAAUAUAAUCAAACGAUUUCAAGAGAACAUGAUGAUCUAACUUCGUCACUGCUAUUUUUCAUAUGCUCUUUGGCUGGCUACCACCGUCGCUAACCCUUUUGUUGUGUCUGCAUAUGGCAGCACUCAAACCCAACCGAACAAUGAGAAAGGAUAGAGGGAAAGUGUGAACUAAAGAUGAAAAUUUUGAAGUGAGAAGAUUUAUUCAAUUGUAACAAAGAGAAAGUGUGGACCAAAGUGAAAACCAUUGCCUAGGAAUUCAAUCGUAUCAUUGGAACUGAGAACUGAAUAAGAAGAAGGUAGAUGACUUUAAAGAGAAAGGUGAUACCCAAAACCGUUUUCAGGAACCCAAACCGUUUUUUUUACUUAAAUAUGUACAUUUUUUACUUUUAGUAUUAGUAAGUUUAAUUUAAACAUAAGUAAAUUUUGUCAAAUAAUAAGUAAAUUAAAUUACUCAAGGUCUAAAUUUCUGUUUCUGACUAAAACUUAUCUUUCAGGCAUAUACUUACUAGUUUUAAUUAAAAACUUACUAAAGUUAAUAUUAAUUAUUUUACUAUAAUAUUUUAAAAGUCGCUAAAAGAUUUGAUCUGUCACUAAAGGUAAUAGAAACCUAUAAUAGCAGGUUUCCCUAAUAUCGUUACCAUAACUAUAGGCACUGUAGCACUGUCCAUAAAAUUCCUGCAGAAAAAAGAAACCCUACAACUACAACUAGCCUUUUGCCCUUUCAUUUUAAAGUUACGGUUGCCACAUAAAUUAAAUUCUUAUUCUCUCUCUCUCUUAUUUUUUUCUCCUACUUUCUUUCUCAUGCAUCUUACACAACUAUCUAAUACAUCUCGAAUUCUCAUUAUUAUGAAAAUAAUUCCUAUCUUUUUUUUCUUUUUUUUUGUAAGUAUUAUUGAAUUGAAAUUGCCAAAUGUCAAGUUAUCGGAUCAAAUUUGUUGUCAAACUAAAUGAAGGUGAAAAGUAUGGUAGUGAUAUAGAGCAUAGACAAGAAAAUAAAAGUGAUAGUUAAAAUGGAAACCUAGAUUGAGAAAGGUUAUGUUAUUAUGCCAAUUAUGUAAAAAAAAAAUUUUGGGAUAAAAAUUGCAAUCCGAUUUACCUAGAGACAUGGGAUAUGGUCUCUAGUAUUGCUUUUAGUUGCUCCGUAUUGGUAUUUUUGGUGGGUUAGAUUAUUUUAGCAUCAACAUGGUUGCAGCCAUUUAGAUUGAGUUUAGAUAGUGAUAUUGGUCAACUUAAACAUUAAAUUUAGACAAAAAAAAUUGAGGCUAAAGAUUAGGUUGAAUACAAAUUUUAAUUGUCACAGUUGAUUUGCAUGGGAAGCUUUGGAGCAGCAAUGGUAGGUUUGUCAAAAUUGUGAGAAUGUGGGGAUUAAGUUAGUGUGUUUUCUCCCUUCUAAGUAACAAAGAGGUAUUUUAGAAUUUUGAAGAACAAAUUUAGCAGAUUGAGUCUAUAUUGUUACUGAAAUACUAAUCAUAAGGGAGGUAGGUGUAAUUUUUUAAACUAGAGAGGAGUUUUCUGCAAUAAUCAAAAACUUCAUGGGAGGUUUCUAAAAUUAUCCCUAAAUAGUAUUAAAAACAGUGGCUUCUUCAAAGUCCAAAUGUGCCUAUCCUAGGGGUGCAAACGAGUUGAAUCGAGUCGAUUUUCACCCUAAUUGAGCUAAAUCUCAACAUAAUUUUACGAAAUUCGAAAUCGAGCUCGAACUCGACAGUUCAAAGUAUCAAAUUUGAGCUCAAUAAUUAUUAUUUUAUUUUUUAAAAAUGAAUGAAAUAAUAAUUUUUUAAUAAAUAAUGAAAUAUUAGGGAUAUAUAUGUCAUUUUACUAUUAAAAUAAAAAAUAUAUAUAUAAAUAUAAUCGAAUUCGAACCGACUCACGAGCUAACGAAUUUAGUAUUUUUGAAUUCAAUUCGAAUUCGAGUUUGAUUUGGUCAACUCAAACUCGAUUAGAACUCAUGUUACCGAACUCGUAUUCGAACCGCUAGCGAUUAGUUCACAAACGAUUCGAUUCGUUUGCAACUCUAACUUGUACAAUUACCUACUUAGCAGUGAUUCCUCUAGAAUCCAAAUGUGCCUCCCUACAAUGUGCUCGUCUUCCCUUUUUUACCUGUGAAAUAAGACAGGUAAAUUAGCUUGGAUGCUUCUCGUUGGCGGACCUUUAGAAAAACGGAUCCCAAUUCCUAACAUGACCUCACUGCUUAGAUUGCUUGACGAUUGACAUGGUACUUUUGGGAGCCUGCAAUUGAUCUUAAACGUAGUUUGGCCUUCAUUUGCCACGCUAAACAAAGAUGUGUUAAAAGUCAACAUUUUUAUAAUACACUAUUGUCAUUUGUCAUUUCUUGCCUUUAUUGUUGCAAAUGUCACAUCUUAUUCACGCCAGUCCUUGCAUAACCGCACGUGGGAAAACAAGAAUAAAUCCAACAGAAAGAGUUUCUGUGAAGUUAUAUCUCAAGCCAAUAGUAAUUAACAGAAUGUAUUAUAUUUGAACGAACCCAGCAACUCGGCCUUGAAGCAUCCAUGGUCUCCAAUCAUCAACAAUUGAGUAAUUUACACAUCUUAUCCACGCUUGAGUUGCGAGGUACGGUGCAAGCAUGCCAUGGUCACCACUGAAUUGCAAGAUAUUGUACUUUCAAUACAUAUAAUUGCCUUGAAUACGUAUAAAGAUUAAGAUUACUAAUGUUGUGUAUGGCAAGCCAUAGUUGCACCAGAUCCAAUCUUAAAUACUCCCGUCAUGAAAUUUAGACAAAAUACAAAGGAACACAUAAAAAUAAGUUGCAUAUACAAAGGCACGCACCAAAAAGUAUCAUCGUUUUACAUUAGUUGUUUUUGAAAGUAUUUUUAAAAUAUUUUAUUAUAACAAAAUAUAUAAAAAGUUUUUAUUGUAGAUAUUUUUUGUAGCGUUUUUGGAGAGAUUUUUUUUUAAAAUACAUUCGAAUAACUUUUAAAAUUAAAUAAAAUAAAUUACUUUUAAAAAUUAAUACUACCACUCACAACAACCACCACUCCUACUCACCAUAACCAUCACCCCCUCCCUCCUUUCUUCUCCCCUUUCCUCUUCUUCCUCCUCUUCCCUCUUCCUCCUUCCUAGGAAGAGGGAAGAGGAGGAAGAAGUGGAGAAGGGAGAGGGAGGAGAAAGAAAAAGGGAGGGGAUGGUGGUGGUGGAUGGUAAUUGCUAUCGAUUUUUGAAGUUCAGGGUAUCACAUAAUAUGGAAUUAGGUAAAACUGUAAAGUCUUGGGCCCUAAAAUCUGACCAUUUAUUUAUAAAGGACAAAGCAGCUGCUCUAUGCCAACGUUCUUUCGGAACAUAUAAAUGCUAAACAACCCUCUUGGCAGUUGAUCAUAUAAAUUGCAUGAUCCCCAGUUCCAACUUUCAAGCCGUAACCGAGUACAAGCAAUAUUUAGCUGAAUAAAGCAGUGUGUUAAUCAACGUAUAUCAUCAGCACAAUCUGGAAAUUCUUUACAUAGAUAAGACGUGUUUCAUAUAUCCACGCCUUGUUAAUUAAUCUAUAAAGGAAUUGCAGGGGCUGGCUUAGCUUAGAACUCCAACCUCGCGCGACCUCACCUCUUGCUGACUCGAGCUUCGACUACAUUUUACUUGUGUUCUUUUUUCAGACUAUUUUGAUAAGAAAGCAGCCCCUUGAAAAUAAACAUAACUUAGACAGCGAAUUUUGGGAUGCAAGUUGCAGCCGUACUUAGGACUGGAGUUUUUGCUUAUAGAGGCUGAUAAGAUAUCCACCUUUCAAACAUUGCUUGACAUUCAGCAGGCCUGUACUCAGGAGCAGUAUGGCCUCCUCCCUGGUGAAAAUUCAGUAUGAUUGGUUCAGGUAUUUUCUCAAUUUUUACUGUUAAAUUGUGCAUUGAAGCAAAGGAAGAUGAGAAUUUCUUGCCUUUACUGUUGCAAACGUCAUCUUAUUUGCAUAGGCCCUCGUAUAACUGCACUUCAAGAAAAAUAAAUCCAUGUGAGUUGUUUCUAUUGCAGAUUUAUCUCCAAUUAGUAAAAGAUCCAUUUUGUGAACGAACCCGGCAACUUGGCCCUGUAGAAUCCAUUGGCGCCAAUCAUCUAUUAUGGAAUAAUUAAGAGAUUUUAUCCAUGCUUGAGUUCCAAAAUGUGGCACAACCAUAUCAUGGUCACCACUGAACCACAAAUUUUUACUUUCAUCAAAGACUUAAUAACAAUUAACAGAAUUGAGAGUUUACUCAAUGAUUGCACUACGUGCUAACACUUGAACUUGUGAAGCAUAGGUAUCAAACCUGUAUAUGAGCGAUCUGUAGCCUCUAAUGCUGAGGUUUGCAUGGUAUGGCAAACUAGUUCCUAUAUUCCUUAUGUACGGGUAGCGACAGUUGCAUCUUAUCCAUUCUCCAAUACUCCCCUGCCAUGUGAUUUCACAAAAUUACAUACACAGAGACAAGCAAACACAACACGCAUAUUUAGCUGCUUGUUUUCUGUUGACAUACCUUCCGGACAUGGAGGGCCUCUUGGACACUCUCGUCAUUAGCCCAAUGAUAAGCAAGUCUAUAUCCAUCCAUCUAAAACAAGCAUAGAAACAAAUCCAUAAUUGCUGCGAGAACUCAAAUUAACCACAAGAGUUGCUGCAAAUAAUCACAAUGUGUUUAUGCAGAAGUUCAUGAAGAUAUUACUAUCUUACACGACACGUAAAUGGUGCAGUAAGUUCCUGAAUUUUCAGCUCUCGAGUCUUCUUACAGAACACUUGAAUGGUCGAUCUCCUGCCAAUGAAUAAAUUGUUUGGCUUUGGGGAAGCAUAAGGACAGUCAGGCUCCAGAAUAUGUGCUGUGUCAAUGUUAGUAAGUAACUGCACAAACGCAUUGAUUACAUUAAUUUUGAAAUUGAAGACAAGUUUUUUAGUUAUCCCCUUUUCUUGGAGAGGGGGAGGGGUUUGGGAAGUUGAGUAUAUGGACUUGGAUAGUGACUAAUUUCUCAAAAUAGAGAAGCACAAAACUUGCAGAAAAGUGGUUGCUUGCCUGAUUGUAUGCCUGCAUAUUUUGUAAGCAGAGGGCAUUGCUGGGAUCUAUAUUUUGAUAUUCUCCUUUACAGGAAAGCUUCAAGGACUGUACAACAGUUAUCUUGGCCCAUUAGAAAACUAUGGAAAUUAUUUAGUACUGAGUACGUAAGAAAGUUCUAAAAGACCUCAGGUAUUCAAAGAAUAAACAACCUCAUAGAGCUCAUCAGAAAUUAGCCCCAUCCCAUGAGCAAAUUGGAUUGCAUAGUUUCCAUCCCCUGGAGUGGUGGUAGGAUUUCCUAGUAAGUAUCCCUGAAGCCAUUUGAGGGUUGUGACAAGUUAGCAGUGAAGCAUAAAUAACAAAAUAUGAGUAUAGUGUUGAUAAUGGUUGAAAGUUGCGGUUGUGGUCCGGACCGUUCCACAUCGGUCUCGGCGAGACGCAAAUUUUUGAAAUAUUUAAUAUUCUAAAAAUUGUAAAAAAAUAUGAUAAACAAAAAUAAUUAAAAAAUUAGCAAAAAUAAUAAAAAAUCAAGUUGACUCGAGACUACUCGGCCGUUUCUAUCCGUCUCAGAGACGUCUCAACCGAGUUCUUGGUGAUCCAUUAUCUCGGAUUCAUCUCGUCCCGGUAUUGGAAUGGAAAGCCCCGUUCCGGUGACGACUCGGCCGAGCCUUUGAAACAUGGUGUUGAUACGCCAGAUUGGUAAAUGAAGCGCAUCUCUUAAACAAUGGUCAACCUCAUUAUGAGGAAAAUUUGUCCAGGAAAAUAGUUAUCUUGCUAUCCCUAGAUGAAAGAGAGAAGACUGUGAAAAAUACAAACCUUAAGAUCGAUAUGUGGCUCAAUACCGACCUCAUUUCCUGCAGAGACACCAGAACAGUAGUUUUAGAGCCAUUGAAUCCUUUGAGAGAAUUCUUCAACAUGAGCAAGUGCAAGGACAUUGAACAGUGCAACUCCAAAGAGUAAUGCUUCAAAGAUAAAUAAACUGUACGCAGAUUCUGGAGGCACUUUCUAUUUCUAUUUCUCUCAAAGCUCGGUCAUUAAAUUGCUAAACAUUGACUUCAAGUGUAAGCAGGCAGUAUGUCUACUAAAGAUGCCUGGGAUAUCUAAAAUUUCAAAAGCAUUUGCAAUACCUUCAAGUCUUUUACAAAGGCUAGUAAAUAACUGUUAUCAUCGGAAUGUACUAGAGCCUAAUCAAUAAGAGGUGCCUGCAUAAAGAACCAAAUUAAGGUCCUACCAUCUGAUAUAAUUUGAGUGACAAUUGGCACAGUAAUCCCCGAGUAUGAGUCUCCACCAAUAUAGACUGGACUGGAAAUGAACUCUGGAUGAUCAACCAGCCACUGUAAAGCAAUCAACAGUUGAGAGGCACUUAGCAAAGAUGAAUAUCAUUUAUCAUCACUCUUUUCAUGUUAAUGUCAUUGAGAAGUCUACGUGCUUCAAUACAUGGAUCAUUAAAGCUUAGGUCACCAGCAAGCUUUAUUUUAUGAUCUAAAUCAGUAAAGAUGUAACGAAUUCUCAAUCACCAAAAUAAUGGACGCGGUUGUUAACUUCUUUUACGGAUACUUAUGCAGUACAUAACGACAUAUAAACAGAGAAAAUUGAUAUACACAGUCACUUAAAGUAAAAGAUUUGCCUACGAAUAUGGCAUUUUCCUGAGUAGUAAUUAGAGGUGACAUCUAUAACUGGCAGUUUGGUCCAAAGGUACUGGAGUCUUGUCCAGGUCUACGUAGGCAGGGAUCAAAUCUCUGGUUCAGUGGCAUCAAGAUAAAAGUGGAAACUUUCUAGCUUUUGAUCAAUUGCACUCUCCAGUGUAAAAUGAUGACUAAUGAUCAUUUAAUGGUAGGAGAGUACCUUUCUAAGAAAUUCAUAGGCUUGGUUACAGGCUUGUAAAACUGUAGACUGAGAAGCUUUUGCAGUCCUUGCAUAAGAAAAACCACUUGCCACUGGCAAAUCGACAAAUAUUAUGCUUGCCACCUGAAAAGUAACGAUACAUUAUGGUCAGUCUAGCAUUCAACUAAACACCAGAAAAUCGAAACAUUAUCAAACACUAUCAGUAGUGAACUAGUGAUAGAUCAGUAAUCUACUGUACAAUGAACUUUCUAUUUUUACUUCAGAGGAGUCUACCCUACCAGUAUAUCAUUGAUAUCUUUUGACCAACAAGGAAGAAAGACACUCGAGGAUGAGUUUACCUUAGUCCAAGAAUAGGGAUUUAACAGCAACUUGGGCAAAGUCCCAUGGUACAGCACUUGCUCGAAUUUUAUUGGCCCUGCAAAAUCACAGGUCAACGAGGAAUUGGUUGGGUUUUGGCGUGUUUCCGCUCCACUACAUACAUCAUUCAUACAGAGAGGAUUGGGUUUGAAACACUGAUGGGAAAAAGGGUGGAUAUUGAUGAAGCCAAAAUCUAUUGUCAGAAAAAUGGUUUCUUUUGCUCUUUUCCUGGACGUACGAUUGAAAACAAUCCUGAAUCCUUUGAAUAGGAUGUUUUACUGAGUCUUGCUUGUAUUCAUUAAUUAAAACAUGUAUACAAAUAUACGGGCCUCCCCAACUAGAUAUAUGUCUGGUGAAACAACCAAAAGGAAGAAGAAAAAAAUACAGGGGCCUAAUAUAGAAUCGCAAAGUACAUAAUUUAUGAAGCUAAGUUUCUGAACUGGCAAAAAGGGAUCUUUCAAGAUUUCAAGCUUGUGCAAAAGUCAAAGAUGAAAGGGUAUGGUGGAAUUAUGAAGAAAUCAGGAAAAGGGAUUACGUAUCAUCCAUGCUCUUAAUUCACACUCCAUACUUAUUAUCGGCGUGCACUAAAUCUACCUAUCUCAUAAGCAAGCCCAGAGAAUGAGGUGCAGCAAUUGCCUCCAGUCAACCAGAGCACAAGAGGGUCUGUUUCAGGACUGGACUCUGACUUGACAAAGUAGUAGAAAAGCUGCACAUCCUCUGAUUCAUCAACUCCUAUAUACCUGGUUGUACAAUCUCAAAACAACUUCAAUCUUUCCCAAGUUUAAAUCCACAUUAAUGCACCAGAAAUUAACUUACUGUUACAAAAAUAUUGAGUUACCCACCCGGUUUCGAGUUCAAAUGGCAGAGGUCCUUCGAAUCCUGGGAGAAACUUAACAGGGGAACCAGCCGAAGCAAGGUUUGAACAUAAUUGCACAAGAACUAGCGGCAAAAUCAGGUAGCUGAAGAGAGAGGAUCGAAUGAGAAUGCGUAGCUUCCCAGUUGAGCAGCUUGGCCUAACAUGUUCUGUCAUCUCUUUACUUGGCGGAGUAACUACUGUGUUUUCCAACUCCAAUAAUGGAUAUGCUUACAAUUCUGCUGAUGCCCGGCACUGACGCUCACUCUGGCUGUUUCUUCUCACAUCUUCUUUCCAUAAUAAAUAGAUUAAAAACUGGCUCCUCCAGAGUCCAAACGUGCCUAUUCAAUUACCUAGGUAGGAGGAAAAACGAGGUGCUCAAUUGCUCAUCUCUUCUUUUUUUUUUUUUCCAGUGAAUAAGACAGGUAAAUUAGCUUGGACGCUUCUCGUUGGCGAACCUUCAGAAAAACGUAUCCCAGUCCCUAUUCCCUAACGUGACCUCACUGCUUAGGUUGCUUGACAAUUGACAUUGUACUUUGGCAGCAUGCAAUUGAGUUUAAACGUCGUCUUUAGCCAUCAUUUGCUACGCCAAAACAGAGAGUUAUUACGGGUGCUAGCCGAUUUUGCCGUCCCACCCUGAUAGCUCACUUUGCCAAAGUUUUGACAAAGUUGGCGUGACAGGUCAACACGUUACGAGAUUGAUUGCAGGUGGCCUAUCAAUCGAUGGAUAGGGUCUGAGUCGAUUCGUUUGCUCCAUACAGACCAAUUAAAUUUGGAGUAAAUUAUAUAUAAUCUCCUAUAAUUUUGUCUAAUGCUAGAUGACUUCCAGUAAUUUUAAAAUAGUCACAUAAUUUCCUUGUAAUUUUAUGUAAAAUGAAAAAUAGAGGGAAUGCAUAAUUAGUUAUGGCGAUUAGACCACAUGCGCAGUAAGAAUGCGUGCAAUGAAAUCAUAUAGUUUGCAUGGAUAUCCACUUUAUCCUUUUAUAAUUUUUGUAUUUAUUCACAUAACCCCUACAGUUGUACAAAGUUAUUAAGUAGUUAUUUGGUUAACAUUUAAGUAAGGGCACCACUGUUAUUUCCAAUAAUGAUGUUACAUAAGUUAUUUUUCUUUAAAUUUCCAUGUUCACAUUAAACCAUAAGGAGGUGAAUUGAAAUUUUGAAACGUUAAGAGAAAUAUGUGGAAAUAGAUAAAACUAUAGGAGGGUUAUUGAUAAUUUACCAUUAAAUUUGACUAGACCCAGACCCUUUCAUGAAUAUUUUUUUGAGGGAAAUUUGCUAAAUCGGUCCCUAACAUUUGUCAAAAAAACUUUUUUAGUCCCUAAUAUUUAAAAUCAACCAGAAUUGUCCCUUACAUUUAAGUUAUGAACCAUUUUUGUUCUAAUGUUCGUAUUUGCUCAUUUUUCCCACCAAAAAUAGCACGCCUCUCUCAUGCGGGUAUAUUUUCAAGGGCAAAAGCGAAAAACACACUUCAUUAACAGUUCAUUAACAUAUUAGACCCACCAACAAUUAUCUUCUAAUUUUAGUUCAACUCCAACUCAUUAACAAUAGCAAAGUGCACAUCCAAUAGGCAACCAAACCAGUCCAAAGCAAUUUCUCUCUUCGGAUUCUCCGUUCUUGAUCAGCUUCCAGCCGGUUGAUUGUUCUUAAUAGACCAAGUAUUAUUGACACAGAUCUACUACACAUUGGCAGGUCAUACCACUUGAAGUAGCCACAAGCACGAGUUACCUAAAAUGCACAAAGAACAUCACAUAUCAAGACGAAAUUUUAACUCCACACCCUAAACCCAAACUGAUUUGAAAUGUUUAUAAAGCUUACUCCAUAAUUUGGACAACCAUAGAAUCUUCUUUCCGGAUUUGUAGAUUUCCAAGAAGUCACAAUGAUGGGCUGCUUUCCACAAAGACAUCGCUCGUUGUUCGGAUCCAUUUUAUUCUUCAAUAUGUCAGCUUAUUCUUCACAUUUUCUUACUAUUCUUCCUUCAUUACACAGUCAUCUAGUUGCAGCUGCGUUUUUUCUCUUCAAUUUCGUUCUUUCAGUGAGGUAAUUAGGACACAAAUGAAAAAAUAUGAAGGAAAGAUGGCUUUACUCAACUGAAAAUAAAAUGUAUGUUUCGAUUUUUCCCUUGAAAAUAUACUCACGUGAAAGAGACGUGCUAUUUUCAGUUGAAAAAAUGAGCAAAUAUUAGCACUAAAAUGGAUCAUAAUUUAAAUGUUCGGGAUAAUUAUGGCUGAUUUUAAAUGUUUGGGACUAAAAAAGUUUUUUGGGCAAAUGUUAGGGACCAAUUUGGCAAAUUUUCCUUUUUCUGAACUAAAUUUUUUUUUAUAAAUAUUAGAGUUCAAAAAUAACAUAUAUAUCAUCCAAUUUUUGUUUUUAAAUAAUAAAAUUAGCAAAAAAAUAACCAUAACAUUUUUUUGUAACUGGGGAGGCCCGCUUCAAAUAACAUAGUGUCCAAUUAGGUUUUGGGUGUCCAAUUGAGAUUCAGGUGGAUUCAAAUUUUGAGAAAAAAAUAAAUAAUAAUAGAUUCAAAUAUGAUACAUAAUAUUAGUGAACGAUUAAUUUAUGAUAAAAAUAGGAUCAAAGGGUUAUGUAAGGUUUUAAAAAUCUGUUGUCUUAUUAUUUUUUUACCGACAUUAUUAAUUAGCUCGUUAGUCCAAAUAAAAAUUAAGAAAAUUUAUUAUUUAAUAAAUGAAAUUAAUUUAUAGAAAAUUUUACUAUAUUUACGUAAUGAAAUGAGCUGUGUGAGUACGAAACGACCCACACGGGACGAAUGAGGAAUAGCUACGGCACAGUACAGUUUAAUAUUAGAAGAGUAGUCAUAUUAUGUGGACACAAACAUUUAAUAAAUUAAUUACCUCAUGCUAGCAAAACCAUUUCCAACUAUGAAUUAUUAGAGUAAAUGUCAAAAAUUUCAAAGUUUUGGUCAUCUCUUCCGAGAAUUGGUGGAACUGCCACAAAGACAACUUUGUGCUGUAUCCAAAAUUAGGGUUAAUUACAUUUACUUCCCUUGAGAUUUGUCCAUAUUACCAAACAAACCUUAUAGUUAAAUCAAAUAACAUUCAACUCCUUUGACUGCCCAAACAUUUAUCAAUAAGUUCCUUACCAUUAUCAAUCGUUAAUAAUUAUAGUGACAUCAACAAAGAAGAAGUUGUGGAGUCCUAUAAUGCCCUUAUCUUUCCAGUAAUAUAUGGCCUUUUUUUUCUACCUAACUUUUUAUUUUACCCAUAAAAAUCUUCUUCCAUUCUUUCUCACGACCAAUCCUUAUCAAUCCUACCCCCACAAUAUCGUAUUCUCCAUUACCCAUCUUUAUCAACAUCCACCAGAAAAUUCUAAACUUCAACUCCAUAUUUUCCCAACCAAGCCAAUAAGAAAUCCCUUUGCAAGACAAUCUGCCCAAAUUGUUCUCCCCUCUUAAUUCUUGCAAGAUAGAUUAAGAUCGUAGAAAGGAAAGUGCAUUUGUUUGCUCGCUUUUUGAUAAGAAUUCUGCAAGUAGUGAAUGGGUGAAAAUAGCAAUCAGAUUAGAGGCCAGAAGAACAUGAUGGUGGUACUAAAAAUACCUACCAAUACUAGCUGUCAAUGCUGCUACAACCGCGGUCAUCUACUCUUUACUCGACGAAAUGCCGCAUAGAAGUGGUCUUUGGGUUUAGGGAGAUGGCUUUUGUGAAAUUAUAGUUUUCUUAAGUUUUUGUGAGUUUGGAGAAUUGGAGUGAUGUGUGGUUUCUUCAAAUGGGAUUUCUAGUAAUUCCACAUAUACUACAAGUAUUUGGGUAGCAUGUUCUAUUGUUCCCUGAGUCAUUGAUGAUGAAGAUUGCAUUUUUUUUUCUUUUUCUUUUUCUUUUUUUCCCUUUCUCCCCAAACCUGAAAUCUAGAGUCGGAAUCAUAGGGCCUGGACUAUGGAUCCUUGCAUUGAAGUUGAAUUUUGGAUGCAGUUCCCAUGAUGACCCUUAGCUAGUUUGGAAGAGCAGAUUUGGUGAGAAAAGAAAAGAUUAUAAAGGAAAGUUGAAUCUUUCUCACAUUUGGGACUUUGGAUAGGAAAGAAUUGAAAAGAAACGGCAGGCUGUCAGCUCCCUUCCACGCCAGAAAAACUUUCUGCCCAAAAUCGGCGGAAAACGUGAGAAAGUGGAGUGAGUUAAAUGAAUUAUACCAUAUGCCAUUUUUACCCUUAAAAGAUUAAAAUAUAACUAUAUAACCUAAUAAAAUUCUCAUGGUAUCUUAAGAUUUAAGGAUUUUUACAUAAAAUUGAAUCUUGUCUUUUCAAUUCUUUCCCUUCCAAACAAAGGAAAGUUAUUUCAUCUCCUUUCUUCUCCAAAACUCCCAAAUAACAUGAAAAGAUAAUAUAAUCUUUUCUUUUCUUUUCUAACUUAAGGUUUCUGUUCUUUUCUUUUCUUUCCUAAACUCCCAAACUAGCUAUAAAUCUUUAACUUUUCGUCAUGUGAAUUUUUGACACCGUUGAUGUACAAUCAAGUGAUGAUAUCUUAUCAUUUUUGGAAGAGAUUUAGGUGAAAUUGCCACCAGAGCUAGGCAAACAGAUUUUUGUUCCUUUUUUUUAUCCCUAAAUUAAGAACAUCUUAAGUGGCAAUUUCGACUUUUCACUAAAUCCGUCAAGCUCAAUUAAUAGAAGUUACUAUGAAGGGGGGUAUCGGUUAUUUGGCCAAACCAUAAGGUUUAUUUAGUAAUAUGGAUAAACCUCAAGAGAGGUAAAUAUAAUUAACCCCCAAAAUUAAGGAUGAAAUGACAAGAAAUGAAUUGUUCCUUAAUUCUCUCUUACCUUCAGUUAAUGCUACCUCAUAUCAAUUUACGAAUUCAAAUUUAUCAACAAAGUAAAAUUUAAAUUACAAGGGUCAAACACAUGCCAUGUAGCUCUAACAUAACUAUCUUAUAUGAAUUAACAUAAACGGUAGUUAAAUAUAAUGUCCUAUAUAUUAAUAAAGAUGUAGUACAAGUUGUUUGUCCACAUAAACAGUAGUAAUUAAAUAUGAGUAGCUUGUUAAAGAGCUUUGACAUGCCUUUUUUGGAAAGAUAUGAAAUGCUUCAGAACAGUUACAUUAGUAACUUUUUCUGCCCCUCUCCCAUGCUAGAGAUCUUUGUCAGUGAAGAGGUCGUUUUUGUCCUGCUGGAGUGAGUCACCCGAGCUGGAGAAGGCCUCUUAUCCUGGGUGGUUAUCUCAGACGAGGUAACCUGCUUAAAUUGUAGGAGGGACUAGAGUCCCCGGUGUAACUCCGAAGCUUAAGUCAGUUCGGGAAUGAAAGAGUAAUGAGUAGAGAAGACUAAUACGCCUUUACCAGAAUUUUGGUCGUCCCCUUUCUCAGUGGAGGCGUUGAGUAUUUAUAGGGGUCAGAUAGGAGAGAGGGACUGCUUGCACAGGUCCCCAGAGAUCCGGCAGUGUCAGUAUAUCAAGGUGAGUUAAUGGACUCUGCGGAAAGGUGCGCCGGAACAGUUGUGUCAGGCGGCGCAUGUCAGAGCAGCUUUAACAGAAGUGUCAGAGGUGUCAGACGUGUCAGAGGUCGACUCCGGUUGCCAGGUCAUUAUACUUGACCUCGGCUGGCUGAGUGAAAGCCUUGGCCGAGGCAAUAAUUAGGCCGAAGUCAAGGCUCGAUGGUGGGAGGCCGAAGCAGUCGGAACAGCUCUAGCCGAGAUGGAAAUACCCACCUCACUAAGCCCCCCAGCCUUGGGAAGGGCGAGGUCGUGGUCACCCGAAGUCGUCACUUCCCGAGGCUGACGCGCGUGUGGAACACGGAACAUGGCAAGGACACGUCACGACUGUGUAGAUGUGACUGGGGGAAGGUGGAACGGGGGCUGGCAGCUUUAACGUCGGAUCAAUACGAUCGAUUGUCAGGUGAACAGCACCUUCAUUAAUGAGGGGAGAGAGAGCUUUAGGGAAUCCCAAAGAUCGCGUCUCUUCGGUUCCCCCCCUAUUGCCUAUAAAUAGGGGUUUCUUUUCACCGUUCCAUUCUUUACCAAAAUUUGAAAUCACCUCAGAGCUCUGUCUAUUUGCUUUUUCACUUCGGCAAUCUUUCCAACCUAUCUUCCUCAGCAACUUCCUCACUUCGCAUCUUCUAAGUAAGUUCACUUCUUCUUUCUGUAUUAAUGGCUAGAACAGCUCGCACACACAGAGAGACGGUGAGGCCUGACUUCACCGAGGCAGAGAGGCCCGGCCCUUCCGAAGAGAGAACUGCAUCCGACGCCGAGGAAGGAGGUGCGGAAGCUUCUUACCAAGCCCGGGGAGGAGGUGCAGAGACAUCUCGCCGAGCCGAGUCUCCGGAGGAACAGGCCGAAGAGAUUGAGGUAGAGCCCGAGGUCUUGUACAAUGAUGACCUCGGGAAUGAAGUUCCUAGGGACGAAGGUGUACAGGAGCCCUCCACUCCUCCAAACGUGGCCACGCUGAACUAUGGUCAGAUGCCGGCCUUCAUCAGUGCGAUGGACCAAGAUUCCAUAGCCGAAGUGAUCCGCAAGUACCCGUGGAGGAGGGAUUACAGUGUCUACCUGCCGCGCCCACAUCAGUCCGCCGCUCUGCCUCCAAAGGGUAGGGUAGCUAUCUACAUAGAACAGCUGGAGGCCGGACUCAGGGUGCCCACCACAAGGUUUCUUCGGGACUGCCUGAGGUACUGGGGGGUGAGGAUUACUCAGCUCACCCCAAAUGCAAUUCGUAUCCUUGUCGGUUUCCAGCUACUCUGCCAACAUCAAGAGAUAGAGCCGAACGUGAACCUCUUCCGCCGUUGUUAUUCACUCAAGAACAGUGGGAACGAGAAGGGGUGGUUCUACUUCGGGAACAAGGUUCCCAAGUUGGUAUAUGAUGCCCCGAGCUCAAUAAAGGAGUGGAAGAAUAACUUCUUCUUCGUCCCGGCUGAGGACUUCCCCAGGGGAUUCUGGUGGAGACCUCCCACUUCGGUCAAAGAAACCUCCCCGGGCAAAUUGGAAGAACGUAACUUCCAAAAGUUGACGGGGUCGGGCCUGAAGAUUAACUGUUGGGACUUCCCUGAAAGGGUGCUCGUGGAGGGCGAGCUCAGCCGAGCCUUGAUCAGCUCGGAUCACACCAUCCUCAUUUCUACUAGGCUAAAAAUACCUUGUAAUUUUCCAUUCCCCUCCUUUGUUUAUUCUUCUUGAAUUCUAACUGACUCUAUUUCAUUCUUUGCAGUGGUGAAGGUUUCCGACCUGAUUACCUCGGGAGAGGUCGAGGUGGCGAAGAGGCCAGCAAAAAAGCGCAAGGACGCUGGUGAGUCCUCUUCCAGGCCGGUCAAGAAGACCACCGCGGCGGCAGUCACUCACGACCCUGCCGUGGUGAUCAUAGGCGAAGGGUCGCACACCUUGGGCACGCCGGGGAGGUCCAAAGCGUCCAUUCCAGUGGGAGUUUCAUCCCAUGGAGUAACAAUAGCCUCUCAACCUCGGGGCCGAGGUCGAGGUGCGACCGUUGUCCAGGGUGACUCCAUCUCGGGGAACUCAUUAUUCAACCUCCACCACGUGCCCUCUCUAGCAGCCGGGGAGGACAAGAGGCACUCCGGGGCACAAUUUUGCCCGGAGUGGUCGGUCAAUGUCAAUGACCGCUGCAAGAAUCCCCUGGUCGCGCACGAGCUCCUGGUGAAUUCAGUCCUGCCACAGGACAAUACUUACACCAGAAAACUCAAUCUGGCCGAGCUGAUGCAGGGCGCCUCGGUUUCUUGGGCUUCCACCACGGCGUUCCUCGCUGAGAUGUACCAACGCUUCGGUGACUUCGUAGAGACUUACGAAUCACCUGCCGAGCUCCAGAAGAAGAUCGCCGAUCUGGAAGGGAAACUAAAGGCCGCCGAGCUGGCACGUGACAAGGCCGAGGCGGCGAAGAAGCAGGCCGAGGUCUCGAACAACUCCCUCAUAACUGCUCUUGAUGAGGAGAGGGAGAAGAGAGCUCAGGAAGAGCAAUCAUCCAAAGUGGCCAUAGACACAGCCGGGGCCACCGCCGUGGAAGCAUUCCGGAAGUCGGAGUCUUUCAUUCGCGACCUCGGUGAACUCACUCGGCCGAGCUUCAUGUUCGGGUAUACGUCGGCCAUUAAUGAUGCGGCACCCUUUCUUCUCUCUGAGCAGCUGGAGUCCUUCCAGAGUGCCUCACACUACAAUGAGGAUGCCAAGGAAUUAUGCGACCGCGUGGGUGAGGACAUCCGGACUGGAAAGGACCUGGCUGAGGUCCGAGCUGAAUUCAACAAGUGGCUCCAGGAAUUCGAGCUGGAUGGUGAUAGUGCCGAAGGAGACCAGGCCGGUGGAGGAGAUGAAGAACAGCAGGAUGCCGAGGCAGGCGGCGAGACCACGGGGGGCCAGAACCCCUGAGGUCCGAGCUGAAUUCAACAAGUGGCUCCAGGAAUUCGAGCUGGAUGAUGAUAGUGCCGAAGGAGACCAGGCCGGUGGAGGAGAUGAAGAACAGCAGGAUGCCGAGGCAGGCGGCGAGACCACGGGGGGCCAGAACCCCGGAGGAGGAGAUGCUUAGAAGCGUCUAUUUUUGUAAUAGAUGGGCCGAGGUCGUAGAUAACCUCGGCCAUUAGCUCUUGUAAUUGGGGGUCGAGGUCAUGAAUGAUCUCGGUCUUUUGCUUUUCGAACUUCAAUAAAGUUGGCCUUUUUCAGUCUUGCAUAUUUUUGCCAUUUUUCUUCAAUUGAGUUCAGUUUUUCUUUUUGACUACUUCUUUGUCCCCUUAUUUUUCACUUAGGAUAAAAUGAGAAUAAGUGAGAAAUAACUUUAAGAAGUAAUGAGAUAUAAAAAUACGUACCUCUCAAGGGUAAUACAACUUAAGAUUCUCAGCAUGCCAGGUUCGGGGCACCCGCGAACCAUCUCGGUAGGCUAGUUUUCAAUAUCCGUUUUGGCUGGACUCAACAACACGAUAUGGUCCUUCCCAUUUUGGGUUGAGUUUUCCCUGAGGCUCAGCUCGGCUAACCGAGUUCUUCCGGAGCACAAGGUCUCCCGGAUUGAAUCUUAAAUUCUUGACCCGAGCAUUGUAAUAGCCAGUUAGGAUAUUUUUGUAGAUCGCAACUUUGGCCGCGGCCAUAUCACGCUUCUCUUCGGCGAGAUCGAGGUCAACUCGCCGCUCUUCUUCAUUGACUUCGGCAGCAUACGCAGCCAUUCGCGGGUUGGGUGUGAUGAACUCGGCCGGAACGACGGCCUCAGACCCAUAAGUUAGGAAAAACGGCGUUUCUUGAGUUGCUGACCUCGGCGUAGUCCGGUAGGACCACAGCACGCUGGGGAGCUCUUCCAUCCAUGACGAUCCAACCCGGUGAAGCCUGGUCUUGAGGCCAUGGAGGAGAGUUCGAUUGAAGUUUUCGGCUUGUCCAUUCGCCUGAGGGUGCCCCACCGAGGUGAAGUGUUGCUUAAUUCCCAAGUUCUCGCACCAUGCCUUGAAAGGGUUAUCAGCGAACUGCCUUCCAUUAUCCGAGAUCACCACUCGAGGUAAUCCGAAGCGACAGAUCACGUUUUUCCAGAAAAAUUUUUGGACAGCCAUUCCAGUGAUGCUUCUCAGGGGCUCAGCCUCGACCCAUUUAGUGAAGUAGUCCACCGCCACCACCACGUAGGCAUAGUUGCCUUGGGCCCUGGGGAAUGUACCGAUUAUGUCAGUCCCCCAUUGCUCGAAUGGCCAUGGUGAGGUGAUGGGGAUCAUAAGGUUAGUGGGUUGGUGGUGCUCAGGGGCAUGGUGUUGACAAGAAGGACAACAAAGGACCAUGACCUGGGCAUCUACCCUCAUGGUGGGCCAAAAGUACCCGAGGAGCAGAGCUUUCUUCACGAGCAUCCUAAAGCCGACGUGGGCACCACAGAGUCCCUCAUGAAUGUCCUCGAGGAUUCUCUCGUCUUCUUCCGGGGUGAUACAUCGUAGCCAGGGGCCGAGAUAGGACCUCUUGUACAAGAGACCUUGCCGGAGGGUGUACCGAGCUGCUUUUCGUUGGAGCUUCCGUGAUUCAGCUCGGUCUUCCGGGAGUUCACCCCGGCUGAGAUACCGGGUAAGGGGCCCCAUCCAGGUGUCCCCAGGGUAGACAGGGUACACGACCUCAGUUAAAUAUCCCGGCUCAGCUAAGACCUCUACGAGAACCGUUUUGUUCAGAUCGGAGAAAGAGGUGGAAGAAAGCCGGGAGAGGGCGUCAGCCCUUCGGUUUUGUGACCGCGGUAUCCUUUGAAUUUCAAAAGACUCGAAGUGUGUGGCCAGCUGGAGUACCUUGGAGAGGUAACGCUGCACCACCUCUUCCCUGGUCUCGUAUUCGCCUAGUAUUUGGCACACGACGAGUUGGGAGUCGCUAUAGACCAUAAUAUGUGCGGCCCCGAGCUUACAAGCUAUUUGCAGACCGACAAUGACUGCUUCGUAUUCGGCUUCAUUAUUGGAAGCGGCAAAAUCGAACCUCAAGGCAUAUGAACAUAUCUCUCCUUGGGGGUCUUCGAGGAGCAAACCGGCUCCACUGCCCUCACUGUUGGACGAGCCAUCCACAUGCAAGGUCCAUCGCUGAGGCUCUGGGGUGGCCAGGGUGACAUCCUGGGUUGUAGCCGGGAUAGUCUCCUUGACUUCCUCAAAAGUAAGCUCGGGAAGGAAAUCCGCGAGAGCCUGGGCUUUAAUUGCCGUGCGAGGCUUAUAGGAUAAGUCAUACUCACCCAACUCGAUGGCCCACUUGGUGAGGCGUCCUGAGGCCUCCGGUCGCGAUAGGACCUGCCGAAGUGGUUGGUCCGUCCUCAGGCAGACGUGGUGAGCUAAGAAGUAGGGCUUAAGCCUUCGAGCUGCAUGAAUCAAGGCCAGCACAAGUUUCUCCGCCUGAGUGUACCUCGUCUCCGGCCCUCGGAGAACUCGGCUGACAUAAUAAACGGGUGUUUGGACACCUUCCUCCCUUAUCAGUACGGCACUCACAGCUUCGGCCGCAGCAGACAGGUACAAGAAUAACUUGUCCCCUGGGCGAGGUGAAGUGAGAGUUGGGAGGUAGUUGAGGUAAUCCUUUAACUGCUCAAAUGCCUGUUGACACUCUUCCGUCCAGGAGAAUUUAUCAGCUUUCUUAAGGACUUUGAAAAAUGGCAACGCCCUGGAGGCUGACUGCGAUAAGAACCGAUUCAGGGCUGCCAACCGCCCCGUCAGCCUCUGGACGUCGCGGACACACCGUGGUGGGGACAUCUCUUGGAUUGCCCUAACUUUGUCCGGAUUUGCUUCAAUACCCCGCCUAGAGACGAGGUAGCCCAGGAACUUUCCCGAAGUGACCCCGAGAACACAUUUCUUGGGGUUCAGCAUCAUUCGUGUCUCCCGCAGGACUUCCAGGACUUCUUUCAGGUCAGCAAGGAAUAUGGAGGUUGUCUGGCUCUUCAAAAGGACAUUAUCUACGUAGGCCUAGACAGUCCGACCGAUUUGAGAUUUAAAGGCUUGGUUGACCAAGCGUUGAUAUGUGGCCCCGGCGUUCUUUAGUCCGAAAGGCAUGGUGGUGUAGCAAUAUGUGCCUUUGUCAGUGUAGAAGGCGGUCUUUUCCUGAUCCUCCGGACUCAUCCCGAUCUGGUGGUACCCUUUAAAAGCGUCAAAAAAGCAGAGGACUUCAUAUCCCAUUGCCGAGUCUACCAAAGUGUCGACCUUAGGCAAUGGGUAGCAAUCCUUGGGGCAAGCCUUGUUGAGGUCGGUGAAGUCGACGCACAUUCUCCAGGUCCCGGUGUCCUUCUUCACCAUGACCGGGUUGGACAACCAGGUCGGAUAUUGGACCUCCCGGAUGAUCUUUGCAGGGAGGAGCUUAUCCACUUCUUCGCCCACAGCUCGGCUACGCUCAGGGCCGAGGUGCCUCCUUUUUUGUUUGACCGGGCGGACUUGGGGAUCGACAUUCAGCUCAUGUAUCAUGAGGUGAUGCGGAACUCCUCGAACCUCCUCCGCGGCCAACGUGAAGACGUCCCGGUACUUUCUGAGGAGGUCUGUCAUGCCUCUUUUAACAGGAUCGGGCAGUCGGGUACCAACGCGAACUGUCUGAUCAGGCUUCGUGGGGUCCAGAGGGAGUUCUUCCACCUCAUCCCCAGUCUCCAGCCUUGGGAUCUUCUCAGCUCGCUGAGGAUCAAUGCUAUCUAUUGAGAGGAUAUUUGACCUCUUCUCGGACCUUGCCCCGGAGGUUGAUGGGGAGGCUGCUUGCAGAGUGGCGAGGUAACAUUCUCGGGCAGCGCAGACAUCGCUGCUGACCUCGGCCACCCCCGCAGAAGUAGGAAACUUGAAGCUUAAGUGGUAGGUGGAGUACACUGCCCGCAAAGCAUUAAGUGUAGGUCGGCCGAGUAGUAAGUUAUACGGGGAGUCAGCUUUGACUACUGCGAAAUUGACGGGAAUGGUUCUGCUGCGGGGGUGACGCCCUAUAGUCACCGUCAAAGUCACCAUCCCUUCGGGGUGCACAAUGUGUCCCCCGAACCUGACAAGAGGGGUUCUCACCGGGGUCAUGCACUCCCUGGCCAGUUUAAGGCUUUCAAAGGUGCGGAGGUACAUGACGUCAACGGAGCUCCCCGAGUCAAUGUAGACCUUUUUCACGAUGUAGUUAUUGGCGAGGACCUCGAUCACCAAGGCCUCGUGACUGCUGGAGGCAGCCGGGACUGGAUCACUAGGCCCGUAAGUGAUCACCUCGGAUAGGCGAGCACUUGUCUCGGCCUGAUCCGGGUUGGUUUGCCUGUAGGUCCUCUUUCGGGAGUUCUGACUGUCUCCUCCCGUCGGACCUCCAGCAAUUGUGUUGAUGACCCCGGCAAUGUUGGAUCCAUACCCCAGCCCAUGGCCUGGGGAUCCGUCUCGGGGAGGCCUUUUUGUCUCCCUAGGAUCUUCCGGGGGCCUACAACUGCUUCUUGAUGUCCGCCUUUCAUCCCGGCGUGGGUCACCCCGGUGGUCACGUCGGGGUUCAUUUCGUGGCUGUCCGCCACUUCGGCGGAUGAACUGCUUCAGGUGGCCCUGUCUGAUGAGGUUCUCGAUCUCUUUUUUGAGAUCGUUGCAGUCCUCAGUUUCGUGCCCGAUGUCCCGGUGGUACAGGCAGUAGAGGUUCGAGUUCCUCUUGUCUUUGUUGCCGAACAUCUUGGGAGGGGCCCUCCCGAGGUUGUUCUGCUCCAUUACAGACAGUACGCGAGAUCGGGAAGUGUUUAAGGGAGUCAGUUCGGAUUCAGGAAUAUGUGACUUUCCCUUUGAGAUCCUGUCGAACACACUCCGGCGAUCUCGGCCGGGACUCUGGAAGCCAGUUCCUGUCCCCGAUUCACUUCGGCUAGGCUCCUUCCCUCUUCGGGCGUCAGUCCUCGGGCGAGCAGCUUGGACUUCUUUUUUCAUACGGUUGAGGUCCUCGGCCUGUAUGCCCUUCUCGACCUUCAACCAUAAUUCGUGAAGUGAACGGGGAUACUUCUUAUGGAUCCCCGUGUUGAAUACCCCGGCAACGAGCCCGUGGGUGAAAGCGGCAAUGGUGACCUGCUCAUUAGGGUUAGGUAUCUGCACGCUUUCUUCGUGGAACCUCUGGACAUACGACCGAAGUGAUUCCCCCGGGUUCUGCUGCAUGUUCAACAGAUAAGCCGAGGUCCGGGUCGUCGGUCGGGAGGAAACAAAACGGUGAAGAAACUUCUCCACUAAUUCCCCCAGGGUUGAAAUGCUCCUAGGUUCUAGACCCCAGAACCAUUUUCGAGCUGUUCCCUGGAGGAAUACCGGGAAAGCCCGGCAUAUGACGGGAUCAGGGAUGCAAUAUAGGCGGAAGGCCGAGAUGAAGGCAUGAAUGUGGUCUUCCGGAUCACCUCGGCCGUCAUAAGACGGUAUCGAGGGAAGCUUGAAGUUGGGAGGGAGUCUCUCCUCGUUGAUGUCAUCGGUGAAGGGUGGAGCCCUCUGGUAAUCCACCCCGGCUCUCUCAGUGGGCCGAGGUUCCUCAGGUCGUCGGCCCAAAAGCCCUCUUGAUAGAGACCUGGUCAGGGAGGCUACCUUAGAGGUGGCCUUGGAGAAUGCUUUCUUCGACGCACUUCGGCUCAAGCGUCUCCCAUCGGACUCUUCUUCAGACGAAACUUCAGGGGAUCCGUCCGACUUCCUUUUAGAGGACUCGGCCUUUUGCUUGCCUUGUCUCUUGAAAUACCUCCCUAACUCCUCGAAAAUGUUAGGAUUCUCGGUCACAAACUCGGCCAUGCGGGUUAUGGCUUCUUCGUUUGCGGGCUGGGUCCUUGGGGAUUCCUGCCCUUCAGAGAUACCUUCUUGCUGAGCUACAUUACUCUGCUCAGCCCCAAUAGCGAGAGCUUUCCUGCUCCUAGAACGCGUAGGCUUCAUUCUCUGAUGUCUUUGUGUUCCCACAGACGGCGCCAAUUGAAGAGGUCGUUUUUGUCCUGCUGGAGUGAGUCACCCGAGCUGGAGAAGGCCUCUUAUCCUGGGUGGUUAUCUCAGACGAGGUAACCUGCUUAAAUUGUAGGAGGGACUAGAGUCCCCGGUGUAACUCCGAAUCUUAAGUCAGUUCGGGAAUGAAAGAGUAAUGAGUAGAGAAGACUAAUACGCCUUUACCAGAAUUUUGGUCGUCCCCUUUCUCAGUGGAGGCGUUGAGUAUUUAUAGGGGUCAGAUAGGAGAGAGGGACUGCUUGCACAGGUCCCCAGAGAUCCGGCAGUGUCAGUAUAUCAAGGUGAGUUAAUGGACUCUGCGGAAAGGUGCGCCGGAACAGUUGUGUCAGGCGGCGCAUGUCAGAGCAGCUUUAACAGAAGUGUCAGAGGUGUCAGACGUGUCAGAGGUCGACUCCGGUUGCCAGGUCAUUAUACUUGACCUCGGCUGGCUGAGUGAAAGCCUUGGCCGAGGCAAUAAUUAGGCCGAAGUCAAGGCUCGAUGGUGGGAGGCCGAAGCAGUCGGAACAGCUCUAACCGAGCUGGAAAUACCCACCUCAGUCAGCCAAAGGCCACCAAGCUUUCACGUUGUUGAAAUUUUUUUUGCUUCUUUUGGCCGCGGGGGAGGGGGCAUGUUUGUGGGCGAGCGGGGGGGACUGGUGGGAAUUACAGGGGCCGGGGGAGCUCGGCUAAGGAUUUACCAUCCGGAUGACAAAGACGAUAAAGUAUCGAUAAGUCUAAGACCACACAUUCGCCAGAAACUACAAGAAGCGGUAGAAACUAGCCGACACAAUUGAUUCAUAUACGAUGCGAACGUGGCAUUUACACACCCGGGUGCUGUGUCAGGGACCCACAUGACCAAAAAUAGUGGAGUAAUAAAAGACAGCUAUUUGGGGUUGGUAAACUUCAUUUGGUCCUUUGAAGUUUGAACUCCAAAACUUUAAUUCGGUCAGUCAAAUUGGAAAAGUUCAAUUUGGUCCUUUGACAUACUCUAGUACUAUUUAGAUUGCUUAAUAGGAAUUUGGAUAUGUAAUACAUUAAUUAUUAAAAUAUAUUUUAAAUAUUAGAAUAAUUAUUAGUUUACAAAUGUAAAUACUUCCUAAAUAAUUUUAACUGCUAGAUAGAUUUGAAAAGAUUUCAAAUCAUUUGUCAAAUCCCUUAAUUCAAACAAGUAUCAAUUUGGUCCCUAACAUAAAAUCUCAAUUUGAAGCAUGGAACUAAAUAAUUCAGGUUAGUCUCAUAAAAGUGAGAAAUUUUUUCAAUUUGGUCUUUUAAAUCUAUUAUGUUAAAAAAUAUGGGUAAAUAUGUCUUGUACUGACUAUAUAUACAAACUAUUGGGUCUAGAUACAUAUCGUGCAUAUUAAAUGUGAAACUCAAAUUCAAGUUAUGAUGCUCUAAUAUAUUUUGCCAGUGUAGCAAUUCAUCUGAAAAAUAUUAUAUCAUUAAAUUAUAGACAAAUGUUAUGUUUGUCAUCUUAUGAAACAUGUGCUCGCCUUAGUGAUUUACAUAAUAAAAAUGUAUUAGUUUACUCAUAGAGAAUCAAAUUAUGACACUACAUUAUUUAACUAAUUCGAAAUUCCGAAAUAUUUUGAGAUAAAAUCAGAAGAAAGAGUCAAAAGAGCACAAUUUUCUCGUCGAAAAAUAAAGGUCGGUUUGCUUAUUUUUCUUACUGAAAAAUAAGGACUAAAAGUAAAAUUUAUUGUUUAAAAUUAAUAGGCAUACAACCUCCCAUUGAUUAACAUCUAUCUAAAAAUUUUGUCAUAUAAACAAAAGAGUAAAUUAUGUCAUUUAUAAUUCUAUUUGAAACAAAAAAUGGAAAUAAAGUGUUACUUAAAAACAUUAAUGAACUAACUAAGAAUAUAUGGUUAAUUUACCAGUCGGGAUGUCCGUACUAGUUGAGUACUAAUUUUAUUAAAUUCAGUAUUAUUUAGUUUUUUUUACAAUCAAAUAAAUUUAAAAAAGUUAAAAGUCUGUCGUGUUUGGUUAAAUCGAUUGAUCAAUAAAUCGAAAACUUAUUUAGUUCAUUUAUCGAUCUUGAUGUAAAAAUAUUGAGUUGAAGCCAAUUAGUGGUUGAAUUUUAUAUUUCUCAUCUCGUGGUCAUGCUUGUAUUAGAAACCUCUAAAACAUAUUAAAAAUCCUUUCCUUACUUUGUUAUAUUUUUCUUUUUUAUUAUUGUUUCCUUUUGUUCUUCACAAAACUCCCUCAUCUUGGCCAAUUUAGUUUAGGUGCUGAAUUACUUUAAUUUUUCUUUGCCUUUGCCUCCAAUUUUUACAAGUUUGUGCUCUCACUCAUAUAAACAAAAUACUCCGUGAGAAUUUUUAUAAUAUUCCAAUUCAUUUUUUUAACAAUUUUUUAGUAUAAAUAGGACGGAUCGAAUCCAAAACCUUUCACUUACACUCUCUUCUCCAAACCAAUUAUCUAUAUAUAUAUAUAUAUAUAUAUAUGUUGAACUAAUUGAUAGACCAACUGGGGUUGGGCCAAGUGGUAAGCAGCUUGGUUCCGCUUAAGCAGGUCUCGGGCUCGAAACCUGACGUAUGCAGCUAUCCUUGUUGGGAGACUCACCCACCACAGCCAGGUGUGCGACCGGGCAAAGCUCUGGAUACCGUGGCAGGCAACAAAAAAAAAAAGAACUAAUUGAUAGACUCGUACACUUAAGUAACUAAAGUAGAUAUGAUUUUUAAAUGCUGCUAAAAUUUGAUUUUUAAGAGAUGGAUAAAGGAAAAAAGGAAAUAAGUUGCGUGGAGACAAAAUGAAAAUUUAGUGGAGAGAAAAUGCAUUGGAAAAAAAAAAAAGUAAAGCGGGUAGAAAUAAAAUGGAUGUGCAACAAAAAAGAAAAAGAAAUGGAAGAAUGAAAAAUGAGUCAAGAGUACAGAAUAUUUACUAUAGAUCAAGAAGAGUAUUUGAUCAAAAAACUUGAAACGGGGCCAAAGUGCCUAAUUGAAAAAUUAUCACAGGCAAAGUGCAACUCCAUCAUAGGGUUCACUAUAAUAUAAUUAACCUACCUGUGCAUUACCACACCUGAAAUGCCACAUUGCUCUGUACAUUGUGCUUGAAUAACAUGACACAUUUAGGCGUGAUUUGAUUUUCUUAAAUUGCUUCCACCUGCCUUUCGAAAUUUUUAGGAAGAAACUAUUUUGGCUUAGAAAAGCCGCCGCGUAGGGCCUAUAAUGUGAGCUCAUGAACUUGCAAGCAAGGAAUAGAAGUUAAUAUCCGUCAGAUCUUCACCUAGCUGUACAUCCUCUGUGGUUUAACAAAGAAAGUUUGCAUGAGUAUACAAUUCAAGAAGAAGAAUCAACCGCCACUCCCUCAUCAGGAGGCUGUGAACUCACAGCAGUCUUUUCCAAUUCCAUUGCUAUGACCUCCUCCAAUGGCUUAUUGUUGUUCUCCACAUUGUCAAUUUUCAAUCGCUGAAAACCAAGAAAAAUAAAACAUUUAGCCUGUAGCAAACUGCAACCAAAAAAAAGAGUCCCCCUAAGCUUGUAUAAUCUUUUAUUUUCUGGAGGCCUUCCACUUCUCGAGUUUUCAGCCUCUUUACCUUCAAACCAAACAAUAAUUAUCUUUUGCGCAUUUUUAGGAUUAACAUGACUAUCAAUUUAGCCAUCACACUAUGCUAUUUUAUUUCUGUGUACAUUUUUUUUUUCUGUGGGGGGUAUAACUUGACACCUGUAAAAUGAAAUUCAUUCCGUAUAGGUUUCUUUCAUUUUGUCCUUUCAUUCUCAUCCCUCUCACACCAGCCCCCUUUGUCUGGGUCCUGCAAUUAUCUACUUCUUCCUCCCUCUUUCUUGUCUAGGUAAUAGCAAAUUGAAGAGGAUUAAAACACGAGGUCACCUGCAUCCUGUGCAAGUAAUAAGUUGAACUAGAGGCAGGCAGCAAGAACAAACCUUUGUUGCUGUAGAUCCAUCCUUUGUCAUGCGGGAAAACAUGGUUGUAUAGAUUUGUGCGUCACUCUUGUUGCUCUCAGCUCGCAGUUGUUUCAAACUCUUCUGUAGCAGCUUCACUUCCCUGAGAAUAAAAGUAUUACCGAAAAAGGAGUAAAAGUUAAUCAGAAAAUUGCAGAAUAAAUAUUUGAAUCGAUGAACUCAUCAAACCAGGUUCAUUAGUAAAACAGAUGACACAGAAAUUAAGUUACACAAGGUAACAAUCCAAAAAUGGACAGGUUUUCUAGGCAACAGGCAAAAACAGGUAUACCUGUUCUGAGGUUCAGUUUCCAGUGCUUUCUUGAUGUCCAAUUCAGCCAAGUGUAAAUCAGCGGUUUCCAUAUAAGCUUGAGCUCGCCUGUAUAAAGCUUUCACAUUGGAGGACUCAACAUCAAGGACCUAAUUAAUUACCAAUAAUAGUUUAAUAUUUUGUAUGCACACCCUUUAACAAACUAAUGUUUUGUUCUAUUGCCAAAAAAAAAAAUUAACUAUACCGUAGAAGGCAGAUAUAUGCAUUUAUCUGCACAUAUUCUCAAUAAGAAAAGGAACCAUGAGAACUCAUACAUAAUACCCAAAUCAUUUCAUCCAUAGUUUCCACAAAAUUUAACUGCUGGAUGAGUUAAAGGAUUAGAGCUAUUUGUUCCUAUCUUGAUUAACACCCAUAAAAUGCUGUUUCAUUGUUCAUACGCAGGAACUUGGCAGGAGAUAUGAAAAAGAAAAUAAUGACAUAAAAGAAAACAGGUGCCUUUUGCCUCAUUUACUUCACCUUUGAGCAUAAAUUUACAGCUCUGUGGAAGUCAAGUAGUUUGAGACAACAAGCAGCAGUAUUCAACCAACAUGAGACUCUUAAUGACUCGACCAGCUUUAGAUCAUCAUCACCAAAUGGUAUAUCUCCACUGACAAAGUCCAAAGCCUGGAAGUGAAAAACAAAGCAUGUGAUUUGAAGUUUCACAAAGAAAGGCCAAGUAACAUUCACAUUCCUGAAAGAGAAAUCAUUCACCAAGACACCUUAUCAUAUUUCUUUCCAGCUCUACGGUACUUUCCAUUUUUAAAGAGUAAAUUGCCUUCAUCUUUUUUCCUCUUACAGGCCUCUAUCUUCUCCUGAUCAUUCAUUUCCCAUGGCGCCUUCUCCUUUGUUCUCCAAAAAUGAAGAGGAAGAUACAUGAAUAUGAGAUUCAUCAUAAAUCUUCAGGCAGAACAGAAUGUCAUUUAGAAUUUAAAAUGAACUUAAGAAAUGCAUUUCACGUCAAAUGCUAUCUACUGCAAAACAUAAGCAUGGUCCUCAAAUAAUAGUGUAGCUCUUAAAGCAAAUUGGAUUUCAAUAUAAAGUCACUACAUCUAAAUUUGGAACCAAAACCAUAACAACAGCUUAGACUAAUCCUAUCCCACUACAGUACCAUGCUUUUUAGGAAGACCUCAGUUAGAAAAAUAAAGAAACGUAGAGGGAAAGGGGUGGUCUAAAUACUGUUGAAUGGUGGUAAGGUGCAAACGAACAAGGUUUUUUCAAUUGCUCAAUUUUUCAAGAAACUAGCCAGAUCAUUAAACCCGUCUGAAAAGGGCUACUCCAAUGAUGAUCUACCAGCUGAGUUCCCAAAAUAUUUGUUUCUCCUCCUACAUUCUUUCUCAGCCUUUUUACUUCAAGUAUAACAGGGAUUUCAAAAGUUCUUUUUUUUGGGCAUAUUGAAACAACUUUUAUUGAAGAUGAGCAAAACAGCUUACACAUAAGGGGAUAAAAACUCUAUGUACAUAAGGCCAGACUAUUCUGUACACUAUUUACAAAAAGAAGAAAAAUGCACACACAAACUUAGCAAAGCAAGUCCAAGGGGAGGAUUUCAAAAGUUAAAAGAACAUGAGAGGACAGGACCAGGCAGUAGAGAUCAGGCUUUUGAUGACUUUGCAGAACACUUUCAGUCAAGUAGGAAAUGUUGUUUGAUGACAUGAAGCUCAUUAAUCUUGACAAGUGUCAGUCAUAAAUGGUUAUCCUAUAUAAAAGAGAAUUAACUAAAAAAAAAUUGUGAACCAUAAUGAGUCAAAUGUUUGGUUAAGUCCACAACAUUUGGUGCUUGCCUAGGAAGAAAAGAAAAAGAACGAAAAAAUUGGUGUUUAUCUUCUAUAAAAUUCCAAUUACUAGGAUGUAGAGAACCAUGGCCAGGAACACAUUCAAUAGCUGCAUAUAAGAUAGGACCUCUUUUAGAUGUCAUUUUAAAGUUUAAUUACAUGCUUCUUUCAGCAAUGAAGACACACAGUGGGCUUCCCUGAAUUAUGCCAAAGUGACAGCUUUAAUGAGAUCAUAAAAAUGUUUAUUUCUGGUUCAGAAGGAAAAAUAAACUAACAGGAUGUGCAGACAGAAAAGGACAUUUAAACACUAGAAAAGCAAGAAAACAAAAAGCCAGUAAUAUGUUAAUUUAGACCACGAUGAAAAUCUUAUCAGUCACAUUAAAACCACUACCAAAUGCAAUCAGUUUAAGCUCUGUUACUUAAUCUGAAAGCUACAGCAAAACUAUGGCUUUUUGGGCAAACUGAAUAAGAAGAGCAAGUCCCUAAUUCCUUUCCAGAACAUGACCAGACAACAUUAAAAUGGCAAUAAUUAGUAAUGUACUUCUGAAUUGAUAACAUCUUCAGAGAUCACUGACUUCCAGUAUGUGAAAUAUUACCUUUAUGAAAUCUAAUAUUUCAACUUCAUAGAGUAUGGUAGAGAUUGGAGGAAUUAUUGCAAGAUCCUGCUUCACUUCAGCAUUUCCAAAUCCAUAUUCAGGUUUUAUUGUCAGCAGCCCAUGUUCACCCUUCUUCAUUGUCAUCACUGCUCGAUCUAACCCAGCAAUCACUUGUUCUGUGAAAAUGUAGAAAUAGGCCAUUGAAGUCUUGUCUUGUUCUUACUGAUGAAUAGGACACUUGACUAAUAAAGCUUGCAUUUACUCUUUCAGAACCAAAAACCAAUUUAUCCAUAUGUGGCACAUAUUAUGGCCACUUUAGAUGCUAAACAAAGAAUUUGCUCAAACAACAUACAAACUCUAAAGGAUCCGGCUUAAAUACAAGAGCACUUCCAUCGUGAUUGAUCCAACACUAUAGCUACUGGGAUAAAAAGGAAAAUCUAAGACAUAUCUGUGGCCCAUAUUCAUCAUGACUUCUAUCCAGGUCCACAUGAAUGUUUAGUCAGAAUCAUAAAAUACAUAACCAAGGUGCAAGAUCGAGGGGAUAAUACCAACCCACUUACCUUCAUCUGUAACAAACUCCAUUGCAUCCGUUCCAUCAAGACCUCUUUUGUCAAACACAGUACCAUCCUCCAGCAUAGCAGUAUACCUAACUGCAUAGUUAUGGGAAUACAUAAAACAAUUUAAGAUAUCUAAUAGAAGAAAACUAUUAGCUGCUUAACGCAAUAAUUUACUUAUUUACUACAGUACUCAAAAAAAUCAGAAGAAUCAGACACGACUGUCAUCUUAACAGACACCACAACAAUAUUACUAUCCAUAGUCAAAAAUUCAAGAAUAAAGAAUUCUGAAGUCACAAUAAGAUGAAAGAGUGAAUGGAAUGAAGCAAAAGAAAGAAAAUGGAAAAUCACUACUCAAAUCAUCCAUUCACCAAAAGGAUAGUCAAGCAAACAAUAUAUUUGACAAGGAAUAAAACAAAGCAAUGAAGCGUGAAUUUUCAAGAACCACCUUGAGAUGAGUUCAGAGUCAAAUCAGAAAUUAAACAGUAUAGUAUCCUUUGGCUAGAUUGGUUCGCAGAUAUGAAGAUUGGCAUUUAUUUGAGACAGAUUGAGUUUAUACUGGAUCAUAUCAAAUUCGAGAAGUGAAAAACAUUCAACCAACUUUGGUACCCCUGACAAUUCUCACUAACACAGCUCAAAGCUCAGCGCAUUUUGAUACAGAAGCAAUUCUCUCUUUAGAGAAGACAAACCACUUUCAAAGCAUAGUGUAGAGAUACAUUAUACAUAAUAGCAAGCUGACCCUUUGUACCAAAAAAGAACUUUCUUGAUGAUUUAGUGAUUUCCAAACUAGUUAGUUCAGGUAAGUAUCCAGCUGAUCAAUCUUAGUCACCAGUUACUAUAUCAACACAUAAGAACAUUUACAUAAUUUAGCAUCAGUAAUUUGCUAGUCUUUCUAGAAAAGUCAUCUCUAGAUAGUUCUUAGAACCAAUGCUCAACCAAAAUCUCAAUAUGAACCACCAUCCUCUGUUCUAGGUGCUUAAUUCAUACCUCAACAUCAAAAUGGCAUUCCACAAUGAGUGCAGCUUUUAAGUUCCAUAAUUUAGCCAAAUGUCUAAGCCUCAGCUCUCAAUAACCUAAUUCUUGCUGCAUAGCAUUAACUGUCUCAUUGUAUAAAGGGAAAAGGCAACAUGGACAAUCCACUUACCAGUAACAGAAGCACCUUCAUCUGCAGUGACAAAACCUUCCCCCUCUUUCAAGAUUUUCUUCAGAACUUUCGAAUCACCAGUGACAUCCACUACAGGCUUGAAGGACACCAACUCCAAAUCAAUCCUCAGAACAGAACUCUGAGGGAAGGAACGAAAGCUAGUAUUGGAAUCCUUUUUAUCAUCUCCGAAGGCAUCUACAACAAUGUUAAGUAAAAGCCAGAUUACAAAUUCCAAUACCACUUCUUCAUUAAUCCACAGAAGGAAGAUCUUCCACAAAUUUCCUUGCUAUAAUAGAAACUCAAUGAUGAUAAGUAGUGCUUAAAGCACAAAAAUUCAAGAGAGUUUCCUUGUUUUCUAUACUGAUGAUAUGUUAGCCAAUAAGAUGUAUAAAGUUUAUCUUUGCCAGUAACUCAUUAAAUUAAUCAUUCUAAAAAUAUGAGAAAGAAACAACUCAGUGAUUCCUUGAAUUCGAAAAAAAAAAAAAUGGAAAUCUGCAAUCAUAGUGCCAAGUAAUGCACCAAACAAACAAGAAAGUCAAGUAGCGGAAAAGAUUGGGGGAAGACCUACAGUGAGGCUGAACAACUAAAUUUACUUUCUCCCGCUUCUUCAUGGUUUUGACUGCUUUUGGUAAUGCAGGACAAAGGUGACCUGAAAGAAGCAACUAUAUUAUGUUUCCAAGACAUGCUGCUUUGGUGGGAAAAAAACUAUUAAUAAAUGUCCAUAAGUGUCUUAAAAUUACCCUCUUUAACAUAGAACUCCAGUCCGUCUUCAGGAGUUUUUGCAACAAUGGCACCAUCAUCUAUUGUUGCAGUAUACUUUACUGCAAGAAAAAUUAGCAUAUUACACCAUUUCUCCACAAAGAGAACAGAAUGCAGUGGGCAGCUCAUGGAUGAUACAAAGAUCAGUGCAGACAGAAAAGAAACUGACUGCAAGAUGAGCUUGCUAUCACGAGAUAACAUUUCUAAAUAUACAUAUUUUUUACCUCGAACUUCAUCCAAUUCUCCAGGAGGUCCCAUCAUUUCCCCCUUCUCAAUUAUUUUUUUAAUAAUUCCUCCAUCCUUGCAAACAUCGACCACGGUGAUCCACGAGAUGAGUUCUACUUCAAACUGAACAGAAGAAUUUGGUGGAACACCAUCCAUGCCCUCCACUCCAUAUGCCAACUCUGAAGGCAUUCUGAACAAUGCUGCUUCUCCUUUCGUCAUCGUGAUAAUCCCAUGAUUUAGUCCCGAAAUCACUUGGCCUAAUUAACCCAAAAAUGCAUUAGAACAACCUUCAAAACCAGGAAACUGAAUAAGCAUAUAUAGAAGCAAAACUUUACAAGGACUGAAAGUGAAACAAGCUACUCAAGCUCGUUCCAAGUAGAGCUGAUUCAAUAUGGGUUGUUUGUCAAUUAAUCAAACCAAGCCCAUUAAGAUUCAGCGUUAAGUACAAUUUUUCCCCACACAAAUCACUCAAGCUAAUCGAGGCUCAAGCUAUGGUUUGGAUAAAAGCUUGUAUGAGCUCGUCUCAAAUAAUAAUCAAACCAAAUGAAAAGCAAUCUUAAACUUGUUAAGACAAUCGAACUAAGCUCAAACACUGUGUUGUUCUACCACAUUAGGCUCGCUUAUACCCUUCUAUUUACAACUCAUUAAGGAAUUAAACUGCAAAGCAAAAAAUGCAAAUCCAAUAUUAGAAGCAAUAAACAACAUAAACACCCAAAAAUUACCUUGUCCAAGAUUAAAAAUUAAAGGUUUGUCUCUGUCCCUCGUUGAUACAAACUCCGCGCCAUCAGCAAGCUUACCCACGUAAUGAACUACAAUCACCCAAAUAUAUAUAGUUUAAGCAAAUUACAAACAAUUAAUUCACGAAAAUGAAGAUGACGAUUGACGAGAACGUUACAUUUCACGAAAAAGGUAAAUUUGGAUAAGUAAUACCAGUGACUUCAUCCCCAAAUUCAGGGGUCUCCCAACCAAUGCCCCGUUUUAGGAGCUUCUUUGUAAGACCUAAGGAAUUGAUUUCUCUCUCCUCGCCGACUUGGAGAGGUGGCGCCGACUCGAUGACCUCGCCUGGUUCUUCGUCUAGCUCGUCGUCUUCGCCUACGAAAUCUGCCGCGUUAAGUUUCGAAAAUUCGACCAUUUUUUUAUAUGCUUAUUUAAUUACGGUUUUUUUUUCUUGCAAUUAGCGGGAAUUAAUCCAUUAUUUCUUUCGUUUCUGUUUAUCUUCCUUUCUGACAUGAAUGAUCAGAGAGGAACCAAGGAGGUGGAGCUAGUGGAGCCUGUGGAAAGCGGAGGGUGGAAGACGUAGUUUCCAGAAACUUCCAAGGGUACUUUUGGAUUUUAAGUCUCGCGCGGUUUUUUUUUUAUCUUGAAAGAAUUUCCCCAAGAGAUAAGAUCGUAUUGGGAGGAAUAUCGGGGAAGUGAAGGAAAAAGCAUUUUUAUAGUAUUUGCUGCUGAGCUCAAAAAUUGAUUAUAAAAUGAAAGAUUUGGAAAGAAAUUAAAAUUUUGAUGAUUUGUUGGAUAGUAGAUUAUAAAAUUCAAUUUUCUUCUUCGAAGCCUAUUCCAUUUUUUGCAGUCCACUACAAUGGAUAAGACAGGUGGUUGGGCAAGAAGAAUGUUCGUGGAUGUCAAUUUGGCACAAGGGUCCAAAAUCUUCAUCCAUCUAUGCUCACAGACAAUUUCAAAAUUUAAGACAAUGUCAAAUUUGAUUUGAAAACUAAUGCUACUAUAAAUUCUAAUUGUCUUUUGUUGCCGGAGGACAAAAAACUGCAUAUUCUACUGGUCUUGUUUGGAUUACAAUUUUCUGAAAUUUUUAUAAAAAAAAUAUACUGUAAUAAUUUAAUAUAUGUGAGGUAAAUAAGUGAUUGAAAAAUAUGUUUACGAAAAACGUAGAAAUUUUUUGAUGGAAAAUGGAUUUUCAAACAAGACCGUUCAAUUGCUUACUUUUCCCCUAAAUUAGUUAUUGUACCACUAAUAAUGGAGAAAUUUCAUGAAUAGCAUAAUAUGAGGAUUAACUAUUUACUAGUUCUUGAAUAAAUUAGUGUUCUUGGAGUUGCCUCUUGUAUUUUAAUUUAAUCAACGUUCUUUAGGUAGAGUUUUACAAUUUUAAACCAGGUUGGAUUGCAUCGUGUUUUGAAGUUUUAAAACUUUCUAGUCAAGAGUGCAAAAAGACACAACAAAAUAAUGUAAAAUGUUCAUUACCUAUGCCUUGGGUAAUUUUGACAUUUAAAUUAUUAGAAACUUUACAUUAUGGUAUUAUAUAUCGUGUUCAACACAAUGAGGUUGGAAUGACCGAAACUUUUUUUUUUUUUAAUACAAUCAUUGGUCUGUAUAGUUUUUGAUCUAGUGUAGUAGUCGAUUACGUAAGUGUAAGCCCUUGAAUGGUAAUUCCUGUACCACUCCUUCUCCUUUCUGUGUCCUUAUCCUGUCAUCCCUCUCUCUCUGUGUCUCAACUGUCGUGAGUCACAUCUAUUUUACCGAGUAUUUAAUGCCACAAUUAAUUAAGAAAAACCUUCAAAGGCCAAGGCACCACUACGCAGCCAACACGAGUUGGGUGAAUUAGUGAAUACGAUUACUUUCUCGUAUAGGUGGCAAACCAACCCACUUAACUAAAGUUACUCAUACCCGUUCAUGAAUAGAUUGAUAUGGGUAUUUCAAAUUUUUGUAUAUGAAUAUAAAUGGGUUACUCAAUAAUACCCAAUAUGAAUAUAAAUGGAUAUUAUUGGGUAACCCAUCAAAUCCAAUUAACCCAUUUAGAAUUUUCUUCCCCCACCCAUUUUUUUUUUCAGAUUUUUCAUUUUGUCAUGAUGUUAACUACUUAUGUUUCAUUAUUAUUAUUAUUUGUUGGUUUUAUCUUAUUAUUUUAUUUUAUCUUAGUUUGUUAACUUGCUCAUUUUUCAGCAUUACCAAUUUAUGAUAAGUUUUAGCCUCUUUUAUUAUCUUUCUAAAAUGAAAUUUUAAAUUUAUAUAUGAAAAAUAUGUUAGGGGCUCAAAUUUUUGGAUUAAGUUUUUAUAUUAACUUUUACAGUACUUAGUUCAAAAUUUUAUAUUCUUAUUAUUCAAUUAUUAAAUAAUAUGUAAUUUUGUGACAUAGAGUAUAAAUGGAAAAAAAUUGGUAAUUAGGCUUAUUGAGUUUUAUAAGUAAAUAUUUAAAACUAAUGAUUGGUACAAAGAGCAGUAUAAAUUGAUAAGUUAGUUUGCAAAAAUGAAUUUAAAUGAGUUUACAAAAAUUUAAAAUAAAUGGGUUACUCAAUUCAUUUUUCGAUUUACCCAUUUAUACCCAUCUAAUUAAAUGAGUAUAAAUGGGUUGACUCACUUAUACUCAUUACCUAUUUUACCCAAUCCAAAUCCGCCCAAGUCACCUAUUUUGACACCUCUACUUUCUCGUAAACAAUCGUAUGUUCGAAUUUCACUGUUAAUGUAAGGGGAGAUUUAUAACUUCUCGAAAGCAUAUUCUGAUCUAUAGUGAUGAUUGAAGUCGAAUUCAUCCAAAUCUUUAAAAAAUAAAAAUAAAAACUCCAAGUUAGGGAAAAAAGAGAGAGAAUAAAUUCGUGGUCUUUGCUGCUUUUACAAGAUUAGAAAUGCAUCUAUAUACCAUAAUUAAGAUGAUUGGAAGGCCGUGAGGGCAAGUUGAGUGCAACUGUACAAGUAUUAUGUUGACAAAUAAUCCAUUAUAAUAAUCAGUGUCACUAUCUCAACGUACCCCAGCCCCGUCAUCUUUCUUAUCUGUUAACAGAACCACGGAGCCUAAAUGAAGCUAACCUUUCUUUUAUGGGUACUGGACAAUUAUUCAGCUGCAAGUUGCAUCUAAACUCUCUGGAAAUAUAUAAUUAGUUCUUUAACUACCUUGAACUAGAAUUCGUCUCACAUUUACGGAAUCACCAGAAAUGUCUACACACAACUAAUUAGCAUCUGUUGAGCAUUUCAAAGAAGACGUUUUUGUCAUUAUUAUGAUUUAUGAGACGGACGAAGAGUGGAAAAUUGAGAUCGACAAUGAGAUUUGCAGCUGAUGAAUUUUUUUAUUCCUCGCUUCAACAGUUUCAUGAAAAAUGAUUGAUUGACGAGGACAGGUGGGUUAAAUUGAAAAGAAAAUAUAUUAUCAUAAGUUUUCAACAUUAUGACCGAGUUUAUUAUUUUUUAGAUUUAUUGUAUCAGUCGAGAUUUUCAGAUCUAUAUAUAUAUAUAUAUAUAUAUAUAUAUAUAUAUAUGUGUGUGUUGUGUUUGAUAUUAUAAUGAAAUUAUCCUUUUCUUCGUAUAUAAUAAAAAGUCUUCAAUGUGGUUGUUGCGAAUUUGAUAGAGUAAACGUGGACAAGAAAAUUACUCCAACUUUGAUCAUAAUAUUCAAGGGUAAGCGCCUGUGCAUAUUUUCCAGCAAAUAAAAUUGACGAGACAUAAAUUAUUGUUUGUAGUUUGAAUGUCAAAUCAACGUAUAGGAAGUUGACAAAAGACCUGCUCCGCUUACGUUUUAGAGAUCUAGAAAGCACUCAAAGUUUUAGAGAGUAUGUGGGAUUGGUCUUAUGGUUUUAGACAUAGCGUUUGGAAGGAUAAUUUGGAAUUUGGGAUAAAGAAUAUAUAGCCAAUGGAGGAUAAGGGAGGAAGCUUAGAAAUCUAUGUAUGCAUUAUAAGAGUUAGCGUAGAAAGUAGCAGCGAGGCUGUUAUUGUAGUGUGGACGGUGGACUAAUGAGUUGGCAACUUGACAUUUCAGCUAAUGAGGACACGACGACUUGGCAUGGUUAACUAAAAGAUCAACAAAUGCGGGUGGACCUUUUCAUAGCACGCCAUUGGAGAAGACAAUAAUAUGCAUUGAGGUAAGAAGAAAAUAAAUAGACAAUUAAUCAAUGGAACGAUGGAUCAAAGGACUGCGCUACUACAAGUCUAGGGCUGCCACCGUAUAUACUAAUCAUGCAUCUAAGAAAGAAAAAAAGAAAAAUCAGUAGAGUCAAUUCUAGUCCACGUCUAAGUUAUAAUCCCAAUUUUCUCAACUAAAUGUGAAUCGGGUAAAUUACAGUCCCCGUUUUCUCAGUUAAAUUCGAGGUGCUUAGCGUUAAAGAACAUGUGUUUUGGAUAUGAUUACGAAGAACAAGUGUUCCCGUCUCAAAAUUUAUUCGCAUUGAGUAGAAUAAUAUACAAGAUCUUUAUUAAUUAGCUUAGUUGAUCUUGACUAAUCGGAUGUGAUAUUAUAUAGUUUCUUUAACACGCAUUCAGUUGUGAACUGGUUAAUGGUAAGCGUUCCUUACACACAUAAUUAAAAAAUGUGGAGACAUCCUGUAAUGUUACAAGCAUUACGAAAGUAAUAAUCACACGUAUGUCAAUGUUGUGGGGUUUUUUAUUUUUUGUGGUCAUGUAUCAAUAUCAUCAGUUGUCAUCAAUUUGCUCAAUUAUCAUUUAUUGAAUUUGCAGGAAAAGGGAUUUAUUUUAGGUGAGCUAAACAAUAAUAUUAAUGAAGGUAGGCCAAAUUUAAAAGUCAAGAAAUACGAGGUGAGCUUUUUCAACAUUUGACUUUUUGUGUCUCCAUUUUUAAUAGCGACUAAUUGCUUUUGCUUUCUCUUGGAAGUUUGGAGAAAUACUCAAACAAGUGGGUGGUACUUGAUUAGGAUUGCUGAUUCAGCCACAGCAUUACCUCAUGGCUCAAAUCAAUUUCAGACAGCCAAUGGUUUAAUGAGGAGGCAAUCAAAGUUUCUGCACUUUAUCUGUGGUUUUGUUUGGCAGAUGAAGGAAGCCUGUGUUGAAUUCACAUGUUAUUAGUUCGCCAACCAGUGAAAUCCGGACCACGGUAUCCGCUAAAACAUCCAUAUCCAUGGGAACCACUGCCAUACAACAGGCGAUGAGUAGGUAGGUACAAGGCUUAUCUCAUUGCUACGAAGUUUUUAUAGAAAAAAUAUUUUGUAAUGAAUUGAUACAGGUAAAAUAGAAAAAUAUGUUUUGAAGAACGUUAAAAAAAUUUUCUUAGAAAGUAGCAAUCUAAAGAUGGUGUCGUGGUGAAAAAUCAUGGAUGCAAACAUUUUUAACAAAAUUGUAAUUUAUUAAUGCAAAAAAUGUAUUGUGAAAUAAUAAUAGUUGCAAUUAGUAGUUUAAGAAAGAAAUAAAAAAUGGUUCCUCUUUAUUAGUUCAAUGGGCGCCGCUGCCACCGGCGUAGACUAGAUAAGUGCCACAUGCAUUAUUUGGAAGAGCAUUGGACGCUGGUCCCUUGACGUGUUACAAAAAGCUUCUUGCAUAAGCAAAAUUAGAAACGAAACAAAAAUAUUGCGUCUACCAAUUAGUAAUAUUUUAAUCUUCUUCGUUAUAUAUAUAUAUAUCUAAUUACAUCUAUUCUACUUCUAGAUUAUAUAUAAUCUAUAAACGUAGUCCAAUUGAACUAUGCAAAAGGUCUGAAUAUUAGACCUUCCAAGCCAAAUAAGCGCAUUAUUGGAUCCGUGACAUUUUUUUUUUCAGAGAAGCGAAGCAUUUAAUUGCUCCUCUAGUUACAAGCGUUUCAUGGUUCAAAGGAAAAAGGAAAUUUUGUGAUAAAUUGGUGGCGGCGACUCGCGCAGGCCUUGCUCUUGUUUGCCUUAGAUUUUGUAAAGAUUUAGCUCCGUUUAGAUUAGCUGUUUUUGAGAUAUUUUUUAAAAAAUUUACUGUAAUAGUGUAUAUGAAAAAUUUUUAUUAUAAAUAAUUUUUAAAAUAUUUGAUAUAUCAUAUGUAUAAGAUGUUUUUUAAGUUAUUUUUAUUUGUGUAUUAUUAUAGCAUUAUAUUUAAAAAACUCAUUUUUGAAAAAGGCCAAUCCAAACAGAUAUUAAUUAUAGAAGGUGAUUAUAUAGAAUAAUUAAAAGUUUGUUUUUGGGUUAUUAUAAAUUUUAAAUUUUUUUAUUGAAAAAUGUAUCAUCUAAAGAUAAAUGCAAUUGAGAAUAUUUUAAAAUUAAUUAUUUAAAAUUAUAAUAUAUAAUCAAUUAAAAUAAUCGACCAAAAACAAACCGUGGACGACAUGAUUGGCGCUAUUACGACGAAUCCGCUAUAGUGGUAGUAAAAUUGGACACAUUUCAUAGUGAGUGACGGUUCAAUUUGACAAAUGUAUACGCUAGAAACUAUCAGAAUAGACAGCUCGAAUUUGGCAGCGUCAAAGGGGAUCUCCAUCUCCAGGAGUGUCAGAAACAUUUAUCAUCUUUUUUGACAUCGGAGAAUGAAAUAAAUGUGAAAGAGACGUGAGAAUUUUCAGUCCGAUAUACCUGAAGAGAGGAAAGCCUUCUCAAACCGAAAACAAAUAAGAGAUGGGCGCACUGUUCUAGAAGAGCCAAGUUGCGAGAUGAAUGGAUGAUAUCCAGUUUCAGUUUGCACUUGUUAUAAAGUAAAAGUUUCACAGAAGACGGAGGGAAUUUUUUCUGAUUCCAAACAAAAUGAUGAAUUUAGCCUCCAAUAGGAUCUUCCACUCUUGAUAGUUACAAAAUGAUAAAUUUAGCCCAAGAGGCCAGCUUCUGAGGCUGACUUUUUUGAUAUGUGCUUGGCAGCUCCCAAGGUGCUGCCACCUUUGGGCCUGUAACCGAGUGGGGCAUUAAAGUGGCUGAAUGGGGUGUUGAAAUUAGGCUCAAACCAUCCCCAGGUCUUGGGCCGCUAUCUCCUCACUCCCAAACCUCUAGCCCACCACGGACUAGAUAAGCACCUGAAAAUACCAAAAACCUUUGGGUGGCUUCCCCCUAUGGGAUUUUUCGUCAAUUAUACUUCCCCUCUUUUAAAUUAGGUUAAAAUAAGUUAUAUAACUGUUAUCAUUGCAACCAAAAAAAAAAGAUAGUCGCCUGCUCUUAUAAAGUUACAAACUUUUUUAGUGAAUUAGUGAUGAACAGAUUGCCCAAAGGGUUCAAAUCAGUUGCAACCUUUGGAUGGGGUAAAUGGUUGCACACAGAAUUCUUAAUUCUAGAGAGACUCCAACCCUUGCAAAAACUUGAGAAAUCAUCAUCUAAUAAUAAAGUCCGUUUCAGCUAAAUAAAUUCUUUCUACAAAUUCUGACUGUGUUCAUAAUUAGGGGGUGGGAAAAAGAGAGAAAAAGGACCCAAGAAUCUUAAGAAUCAUCAAAAUUGAUCCAAAUGAUCAACGCCAAUUAAUUGUUUGGGCUUCAAUCUAAAGAAACUUGAUGGGUCGGGGUGUCGGGCUUGAUUUAGUGUGUUGUUCAUGCUGAGCGCGGCAGGCCCAUUUAAGGGUUCUUUUCAAUACUUUUUGAUAGUACCUGCCAAUUCCCAAAGUUUUUAGAAAUGUACCCUUCCAGCUACAUUUUCAUCCAAAAACGAUUUUUCUCUCAAAAACCCUCUCAUCCAAGCAACCAUGAGUACCCAAGUCUCGACUCUCAAACCCUCUCCUUUCCUCCCUUUUCCUUAUAAUGCUUGGCAUCUCCAAUUGAAGGGAAAAAAAAUGUUAUUAAUGCUUCUUUUUGUGCUUGUCAACUUAUGUUUAGGUCUUCAGAAAAACAAAAUCAGAAAUAUGGCCAAUUAUGAUAGGGGCCAUUUUUACCUCUACUACUUGGGUCAGACUAAUUCAAACUUUAGAACCCUGGAGACAUUAACAACAAUAAAAGCUUCAACUCAGGCCGAAAGCUUCACAGUUUUUCUUCUUGUUGCCUGCUUUGGACGCCUAAAUCAAAGCCCAAAAUUUCACCAUCUCCAAAGUACAAACAUGUAAUACUAGUAUUUUGGACCAGAACUACUACUUUUUAUUUCUUUCCUUUUCCAUAGUACGCUUGAGCGGGCACCACUUCAUAGACGUUAACCCAUUCCCCACCACAGAACUUCUCCAACAACGCACGGGGCUUGACACAACACUUGAGUCACUGACAAUGUCAUCUACCUUCUCACAAUUCCAGCUCUCUCAAAGUGGCAAGGAAUUGAUCCACAAUUCAUCAACAAAAUGAAAGGCAUCUAUCUGAAUUUUGCUGUUCUUUCAUUGGCCAUGCUGCUGUGUCUAUGCCAAGCAAAAACCCACCUUCACCCUUUGAUCUUGGUACCCGGGACUGGAGGCAAUCAACUAGAAGCUAGGCUAACCGCAGAGUACAAGCCUCCAAGCUUGUUUUGCAACCGGUGGUAUCCAUUGAAGAAGGACAAGAAUGGUUGGUUUAGGCUGUGGUUCGAUCUAAGUAUCAUAUUAUCCCCCUUCACUAGAUGCUUUGCUGACCGCAUGCUGCUAUAUUAUGAUCCUUACCUCGAUGACUACUAUAAUGCCCCUGGAGUGGAGACUAGAGUUCCUAAUUUUGGCUCUAUUCAAUCUCUCCUUUAUCUUAAUCCCCAUCUCAAGUAAGUUUUCUUUUACUUUUCAGGUGAUUAUCUUGAAUGUUACUUCGACUUUGAGUAACUGUGGGAAAUCGAUUCUCAAUUUCUUCCCAUCAACAAUUGUCAAGUACUGAAAGUUCUUCUUGGUUGACUCCUCUUUAGUUUAGCAGUCUGAUACCGAGUAUUCUACUAUAUACUACCACACAGUGGUGGCAUGCUAUCUCCGGUUUCAUUAAAAAUUGAUUGCUCUGUUGAUUAACCAACAUCAUGAUGUAUUAAGAUCCUUGAUAAUACUUCAAGAAAUACUUUGGUUUUGAAGCUCCAUGUGGAAUUUGCAUUAAUUGGCAGGCACAUUACUGCAUACAUGGAGCCCCUUGCAAGGUCCCUGGAACAAAUAGGUUACGUGGAUGGUGAAAAUCUAUUCGGAGCACCAUAUGACUUUCGUUAUGGUUUAGCAGCAGAAGGUCAUCCAUCAGCUGUUGGUUCCAAGUUUCUUAGUGACCUGAAACAUCUAAUAGAAAGUGCAAGCUCUUCAAAUGGAGGCAAGCCAGUGAUCCUUCUAUCCCACAGCCUAGGAGGCCUAUUUGUCCUUCAACUACUCAACCGAAAUUCGCCUUCUUGGCGUCAAAAAUAUGUCAAGCAUUUCAUCGCGCUCUCUGCACCCUGGGGUGGCACAGUUCAGCAGAUGAUCACCUUUGCUUCUGGAUAUACGCUAGGGAUUCCCUUUGCUGAUCCUCUGAUAGUCAGGAAUGAGCAAAGGAGUUCUGAAAGUAACCUAUGGCUCUUGCCUUCUCCUAAAGUAUUUUCUCAGAAGAAACCACUUGUGAUUGCACAAAAUGCGUCGUAUUCAGCACAUGAUAUUGAACAAUUUCUUGAAGACAUUGGAGCUCCAGAAAGAGUGAAGCCUUACAAAUCGCGAAUUUUGCCUUUGGUGGGAAAAUUUGUGGCUCCUGAAGUGCCCAUUACUUGCAUAGUUGGCACUGGUGUGGAGACACCGGAGACCUUGUUGUAUGGAGAAUGCGGCUUUGAUGAGCAACCUGAGAUUAUUUAUGGAGAUGGAGAUGGAACAGCGAACAUAAUUAGCUUAUUGUCUGUGGAACUGGAAUGGGCAGAUAAUAGAAAUCAGACCCUUAAGGUGACUAAACUUCCUGGGGUUUCUCAUACUGAUAUACUGCAGGAUGAUGCAGCACUUGGUGAAAUACUAGGACAAAUUAACAGCAUCAACUCUGAACUCUGAAGUCACUAGUAUCUCAUUCUCAGAAUAUUAUUCUGAGAAGUCAGUAAUGGCUGUAAUCGUCUAUCAAUUGAGCUGAUUCCCUCCGAAACAACUGCAGAAAAUCAGCAAGAAAGCAGGAGCAAACAUUUGCAUGAAAAUGAUGUCUUUCCCUGUAAUUAUUUUUUUGUUAUGGGCAGGGAACUAUAACAUGUUACGUUUCUUAUAUGAUUUGGCAAAUUUAUACUAUUAUAUUAGGGUGCACAUUGAUUUUGUUGUGUAUAUCAAAAUUUGUAUCAGGUGCAACCCUUCAAGGUCAAGGAUGUGUAUACUAAGUGUUGAUAAUGUACUGAUAUGAAGCACAAUAUGGUAUGGUACAUGUAGCAAGUUCGGCUAAAUAUUGAAAAUGCAUUGGAUAAUUUCAAUGACUAUCCCACUUACACAUUUUUUUCCUAUUAACAUAGAAAAGAAGUGAUUUUCACUCUUUUUUAUCCCUAAAUUUUUCUAAAAUCCCUAAAUAUAUCUGCAAUGUUUAAGUUCAGAAAAUAGUUCUUCUGGUCACAGUAGUGUAGUUAUGUAUUCUUGUGGUCAGUGAGGAAAACCGGGCAGGGCAGGCCUCUUAAGGAAAAAAGAUUAUUGAAAAAGGAAGACAUCCAUAACUUUUAUUAUUCCAUUUUUGUACCCAAACACAGCUUCUUUUAGAUGCCGAGAGUGACAACAAAGAAGAGAAAAGUGAAAGAAAAGAAAUCCCAUUUUCAAUUCUUGAAUCUUGAUCAACCCCAAAUUCACAAAUUAGUAAAAUGAUCAGCCCAAUGCCGGCCAAUGAUGAAGUGGUGGACCCAGCCUAAGUCAUCAAAAACCAAAAAGAAAAUCUCUGACACAAAAAGAAAUGAUGAUCAAUUGAUCAUCCAUCAAUUACUAUUAGAGACAAAUCACCCACGUAGAGACACUGACGGACGCAGAAGACGACGCCGUCUUUUAAAUAAAAUUCUCUCUCUCUCUCUCUAGCGUUCCCCCUGCAACCUCGAUCCAACUCAAUUUCAAAAAAAAAAAAAAAAAAGGUAAAAACAAAGAGCAAAAGGCCGGUUUCGUCCCAGGCUGCAGCACCGUCAGCCAUGUCAUGGUUGGCUCGCUCCAUAGCCAACACUCUCCGCCUCGAUGACGACGACGACGAUGCUGAUGCUGACCGACAUGAAUAUGAUGCUGGCGUAAUCAAGAAGCCUCAGCAACAGCACUUAAACGACGUCGCUCAACAUCACACCUCAAUUUUCUUGCAUCCCGCCGAAUCCCUCGAUUUAGAAGAAGUAGACUUAGAAGAUCGCCCCGGGAAAAGCAAUAGUUAUCAUAGUAACAGUAAUAAUAACAAUGCCGUCGGGGAUGAUAAUAGCAAUUUCGAGGAUAUAGGCGAUCGGAGUACGAAUAAUCAAGGGCGAGGGGUAAAAGAAGAUUUAUCUGAAUUUAGGGAAACCCUGACGCGCCAAUUAUGGGGAGUUGCUUCAUUUCUAGCUCCUCCUCCUCCGCCUCCGCCACCUCCUCCGCUGCCGCGACCCAGGAGCUUCAAUUGGUUAGAAUCGGAUCGGAGAAGAACGGAGCUUGCGGAGAGGUCGGCUUCGGGUGAUGAGGAAAUGGACGGGCAAUUUGGGCAAUUUCGGGGAUUUCCGCAAAGUUUUUUGGAAGUGGGGAUGCCGGAGGAGGAGGAGGAGGAAGACGAUUUAUUAGCCGACGCGGUGGGGAUAACGGAGGAAGCUUUGGACUUUGCGGAGAAUACGGCUCAUCAUCCCGAGACCUGGCUGAAUUUUCCCUUGCCGGAGGAGGAAGAAUUUGAUGGUAAUUAUAUGUUGGAUCUUUUUAAUUUGUAUGCAUCAAUAAUGUGGAAUGCAGCUCUUCCCAGAAGUUAAAUUUGAUUUUCAAACUUGACUUGCUACUUGCAAUGUGAUGUCAAGUUACAAUCUUUUUGCUUUCUUGUAUUGAAUUUUGUUAUCUGUUGAUAAAGUUAAGGGGAGUGUAUUUUGGUUGCUGCUACAGAUGCAUCAUCCGUUAAUCAUACAGGUGGAACUAGAGGGUCAAGUGGCAGUUGACCUGACGAUCAUUUUUUGUUUGGAUUUUUGAAAUGGAGCAUUUGUAGAACGAAGGUGAUUGGUUUAGCAGUGGAGGAAAGUAUUAAAUUCGUUUAAAAGAGGAGAUUAAGGUGGUGUUAGCGUAGGGUGCUUUUUGGUGGUUUAUGGAGAGGGUGGGAGAGGUGGGCAGAGGUUUUGUAGUGUGUGAAAGGGGUUGAGAUUUUGAUGUGUCUAGCAAAGGGAGGAAGAGGGCAAUGAAUGCCAAAAUUUUGAUGAUGCCAAAUCUUUGCUCCUCUUCCUUGUGCUCCUUCGAUUACUUUUGGGAGCAAACAAUACUUUGGGGUGUUGAGGGAAAUCUCUGAUAAUGGAGUGACAAUGAAAAUUUGGAUAAUGUUCAAAGUGCUGACUCAACUCUUGGCUACUUCUUUUGGUUACUCUUAGGGGAAUGGAUUUUAUAUGUAUAGAGAUGCUUGUCAUUAAGAAUGUUGGAAUAGUUCUUGAUUUACAUGCCAGGCUUUAUGCAGUAUGAUCUAUGCAAGCAUGCUCGAGCAAUUGAACAUCUAUGAGGAAGUUAUGACUUCACUUCUUACAUUUAUUCAUGUGGAUUCUAUAACUAUUGCAAUUAUUUGAUAUGCCUUUCUUUUAUUUCUUCAGAUUUUGAAAUUUCUGAUCUCCAGUUCAAGCAUGCUCGAGCUAUUGAACAUCUUGCACCUAGAUUAGCUGCUCUCAGAAGAGAGCUUUGCCCUGCCCAUAUGACUGAAGGCUACUUUUGGAUGGUCUAUUUUGUUCUUCUGCAUUCGAGACUUGAUAAACAUGAUGUUGAUCUUUUGACUACACCCCAGGUAUGUUAGCAUUGCUAGGCAUUCAUUUGAUUACGCUUGUGGAUUUUUAUCGAAGGAGUUCACAUAUCAUCAAUUAGUUUUAGCAUUAGUUGACUGGAUACAGUCCUGGGGCAGUUAACUAUUAAUUGUGGAUUUGAUAUGCUUUUCGUUUAGCCAUUAAUGGUUUUUUAUUUUUAUUCUAUUCCAUGUAACCAAAACAACAUAAAGAGAAUAACAAUGAGAGUACUAAAAUAAAAAGAAACCGGCAUGGUAGAGGCGCUUGAGGGCAAGAUAUGUCAAAUUUGGGAAAAUAAAAAGAUUUAAGAGCCUCUGCUCUUCUGUAUUGAAGUAAUUAUCAAGUGCAGAUUGAUAAUUGCGCAAUCUGCUAACGAAUAGUACAGUAAGCACCCUAAUUUAAUCUGAUAAAGGACCCGUGUUGAUUUUACAUUGAAAGUACACUUCUGGUGGAUUUUGUGAAACUGCCAGCAGCAAGCAAGUUAAAUUAAGUUGCAUGCACUGAUUAUUGAUUUGAUUGGAGCCAAAAGCAAUUUACAUUGGUGAGAUGUUAGGACCAGUGUAAAUAUCAAAUGGAAGCAAGUGAAGUAUUUUUCUUUCAAUAGUACGUUACAAUUUUCCUUAUCUCACUUUGCAGUUGGUAAAAGCAAGGACCAUGUGGAUGCAUGAGCUCCAAAAGCAGACAAAGCCAGAGUCACAUUGGCUUGGAAGAGAUACUUUUGACUUGGAAGAAAGAAAUUACUUUCCUUAUGAAAGUUUCGAUGUUGCUUCAUGUGAAGACAAUACGCCCAGAUUCAUGUCUCAGACGGCAUUUCCUCUUGAUUCUACAGCUUUGCUGGUGACUAGUGACUCUGAGCCCGAGAAACAUCCACAUGAAAGUCGUGAAAUUCAGUUCAUUGAUAAAACUGGGCAUGAAGAGAAUCUAACAAGUGCGACAGGGAAUGAGUUGCUAUCUGGUCCACCCCAUAAAGUACCAAUUGAGGAAUAUGAUGAGCAUGAGGAUGACUGGCUAGAUGAUGACUCAGAAUUAGAGGGCUACACGGGAACUGCAAUCACUUUGGUAAACGAAGAAGAUGUGUCAUUCAGUGAUCUUGAGGAUGACCUUGAUACAAUGCCUAUAAAAUCCAAAGUUCUUGUAAAGGACUAGACUUCAUAGACCAAAAUCUCAUGAGCGGUGGCUUCCACUAAGCAGGAGCGUUUGACUUGCUCAGACUGUUUCCGCUGGAAGUCCUUGUCUCUGGAAUCUGGAAAUCAGUGUGACAAAGCAUUUGCAAAGAGAUGCACUUGAAUGUGCACCAGCAUGAUUGAAAGUCUUUGAGCUUCACUGCACCAGAACAAGGACAAAUAUUCAACCAAUUGAUGUGGUUUUGGUGCCGAUCUCAAGGGUAUUGAGAUAUUUUGGAGUUCCAGGUGAAGUAUUGUGGGAGAUGACAGUGCUCUGUGCGCGUUGUAUGCUGUAUAUCAGCCAAGCUUUCCCAAAUGGAGUCAUGUUUAACUGGAUUAGUUGGUUUCCGUUCUUAUCCCUUUCUUCAUUUGUUAUUACCUUACACUCCAUCAAAUGUAAUUAUUGUUGUAAAGGUUAUUCGUCAAAAGCUGAAAUAACUGGAGAACAAAUUCCAAAAUGUGUGUCCCUUGCAAGCCAUGAAAAUGAAAGUUUUGGUAUAAAUACGGUUUUCUAUUGGUCAUUAGUUUUCACACUUACGGAUUGAACUUGCAUGCUGUUGCUUGCUCGCUCAUUAAAUCUUUUUCAAUUUUAUUACUCUGUACUAAACAAAUUACAAAUCAACUUCAAAAUUGGAUAUCAUUUCUGUCUAGCUUGUCAUCCAUAACACAGGAGGAAUAUUGCUACAAACAGUUUUUAUUAGUGGAGAAGCAUCUCUACAACCUGUCUCAUGGUUGGCCUAACUUUUCUAUCUUCCUCAACACAAUGUAAAGCAACCCUAACUAGUAAUGCCAUUUUUCCUUUAUCACAUUGAGUAUUGUCCAGCAGGGGGUCUAAUAUUUCAUCAAUCCAGGAUGUAAUUUCACUAUCUCCCUUUACCAUUUCCCUAACCCACUCAAUCAAUGUUUUCUCGACCAUUUCUCCUCCGACACCAAAUGUUUGAACGUGCAUUUUGGGGCUCCUUCCAGUCACCAUCUCCAGCAGGACCACUCCGUAACUGUAAACAUCAACUUUUGAAGUGAUGGGAAGAUUGCCAAUCCAUUCAGGAGCCAUGUAGCCUCUGGUUCCCCUGAUCUUUGAAAAGCUCAAAUCAUUAACCUCAGCUCUCCUCAAUAGCUUUGAAAGUCCAAAAUCUGCUAGCUUUGGGUGGUAGUUGGAGUCCAAAAGUACAUUCUGAGGCUUUAUAUCACAGUGCAAAACCCACUCCAAGCACUCUUCGUGUAAAUAAGCAAGGCCUUUUGCAGUGCCUAGAGCAAUUUCAAACCUCAUCUUCGAGUCAAUCACAGUACAAUGCAAGUUUUCGGCUAAUGAACCGUGUUCCAAGUACUCAUACACCAAAAGCCGGUGUUUUCCCUCUGCACAGUAUCCCCAUAUAUCUAUCAAGUGCAUGUGGUUAAGCCUCCCAAUAAUGCUCAACUCUGCUAAAAAUUCUGCUUCAUCUUGGUUAGCUUCCUUGAGUCGCUUAACUGCUGCCACACGAUGAUCCAACAGCACACCUUUAUACACUAUCCCACUACCCCCUCGUCCUAUCUCUUCACCAAAAUUUUUAGUAGCUUUCUUUAGCUCACUAAAGGAGUAUUUUCUGAAUCCUGUUGACAAAUGCACGUAAGGUUGCUUAUCUGAGGUCCUGCGAGAUCUAUACAAGAAAAACCAUACUGAAACAAUGCAGAUCAUCUCAAGCAAUCCCAGAGCAGGGACAAACCAGAGCAGAAUUCUUACUGAUUCCCUCUCACCUUUCUUCUUGUAAGUCCUGUUCAAUGUUACAAUGCUUGAACUUGAGCAAAUUAAGCUGGAUAUUUUUGCUGGCUGGUCAAUGGCGAGUGCAAGGGCCUUAGGCUGUUUCAAAUGAAGCAUUCCACUGUAAGUAGGCGAUAUAAAUCCAUUACGAAAAGCUCUUUAGGAUAACAAUCAUACACUCCGUUUUCCUUGUUGAAUCUGUACUGGAAUCCUUUGCACUUGCGUGAUUCAUUGCAUAUCUUCUCACAUUUUUCCAAUGUACAGUUGUGCAAAAUGUCAAUAUUAUAUCCAUAGAAAUUAACAUGAGGAAGCUUGAUAUAUGUUACCUCUCUGCUGUUGCAUGGCAGCUGAUACUCAGGCUCACAUCCAUAAGCCCAGUCAGUGUAAUUUUUAACUCUGUAUCCUUGAAGACAAGAACACUUUCUGCCACUCCUAGGAUAAUGGCUGCACAAACUGUUGGGACCACAAACACCAUGAAUCCAUGAAGCAAUCCAACUCCUUGUAGUGGUAUCAAGGCUGUAUAAACGAAAGUUACCAUCAAAAUCAAGGGUCAACCUUCUCUGUAUGCCAGGACCAUAAUCAUCAGCCCUGAACCCAACUCGAUCAGAUGAUUGGAAGUGACCCCAUGAAUCGAGUACCGCAACCCUGCUGUCAUUGUACCUUGUUCUUCCGGCUUCAAAGCUUAACAACCAAGGGUCAGGCCAAUAGAUGCUAGAUGUCUCAGGGCCAUCGAAAACCAGACGUAGGACAUUAUCAUCAUCAAAGAAAAGCUUAUAGAAACCUGAAGAGUAAUUAUUUUGGCUCCUUGAUGAAAUUAGCCUUGUGUACCUAGUUAAAGGUUGUCCUGGGAGAAGAGUGUCCGUAGGAACAUCAAAACUCUGCCACAGAACAUUAUCCUUUUCUGUCAGGACAAGGUUUCCAUUGUUUUGAAGGAGUAUCUGAACAAAAGAAGCUGACACUGUGUUAGUCGCCCAAGAAAUGAACUUACUGGCAUCAGAUAAGAUGAGAUUACCAUCCUUGAGUAGAGUGAGCUUCGAGUGUUUUCCAUUUACAGGGUGGUCUCGGUUAGCCAUCCACACUAUAGUGCGAUUACUUAGCUUUUCAGUAAACCAAAUUGCAAAAGAGUAAGCAUUGAUGCCAACAGAGUGGAACCCAGCCGUGAAUAGACCAUUUGGAGAAAUCAAAAAGUCCUCUUGGUUUUCGACCGAUAGAGAUGAGCCCUUCGUCAACCGACUAUAUGCAAAAGCUCCUGGAAAUGAAAAAGCAGACGACCAGAACAACAGCAAUAGUAGAAGACUGCCUAACAUGGCUAACUGUGCAUGGAGCACAAAGAAAAGCUUGGAGGAACUCUGAGAGCUAAAAGCAAGGAUUUUUAGUUUGUUAUUUUCCAAAUUUAGUCAAUCUUUUGAGAAAUAUAUAGGAAUUCGCAUGGUUUUUUUACCAAACUUGAAUCCAGAAAUGCUUUUGGUUGAGGAGACAAACUAACUAACCGAGCAUGGAUGGAAUUUUUUUUUACCAAGUAAUGAUGGAGGUGUUAUUCAACAUAGGUAACUUCAUUGAAUUCAGAGGUUACUUGUCAAAGUUUGGUACUUGGACCACAGUAUGCAUGAAUUUAUUGGAGCCACUGCCAUAUAACACAGGCAAUCAGUAAGUACGAGACUCGAGUGGGACCUUGUCGUUGCGAAAAGUCAUGGACGGAGACUUUCUUAACAAAAUUGUAAUUUACCAAUUCAAAUUCACUAUUACCUUAUUAUCACAUCAUAAAAAAAAUGCUACAAUAUUAUUCUAAUUUUUUCCUGGAAUAAUCUUCAAUCUAAACACACUCACUAUUCGUAGCAAGAAAAGAGUGCCAUUCCUCUUUACUUCUUCAAUUGGUGCAACUUCAGAGACAAGAAAAAAGAAGUGAAUUUUUUUUUAAUAAAAAGGUGGCAAUCAGCAAUCAACUAACCACACAUAUGAGGGUCAGGUGUAUCGAAGAAGGUAGUGCACAGAAGCCAGUUAACUAAGUUUAGCUUAGAAAGUUUUCUCGUGCACUUCACUUGCAAGCUACAGAUAGCAGCAUAUGAAGGUGAGGCGUCUGGAAGAAUGUGUUUUACAAGAGCCAGAUUCACUUCUUCAGCUUAAAAAGUUUUGUCGUGCACUUAAAACUUUCAAACUACAAAUAACAGCGUAUGAGGGACCAGGGCUGCAGACGAGUCGAGUUGAGUUUUGAACUUAUCGAGUCGAGCUACAUUUGUUAAUGUGGAAAUUCGAGCUCAUCGAGCCAAAAAAAUGAAGCUCAAGUUCGACUUAGUUUAGGAAAAGGAAAGUUCAAACUCGACUCGUUUCUAGCUAGCAAGCUUGGUUUGAUUUCUAACUCACAAGCAGUUCGAGAUGUCAGCUCACGUUUCGCUCGACAUUUUGACUCGUGAGGAGCUUGAAGUCAGCUCGAUUUUAAUUGAUGUAGAUACAUUUUUAUAAUUUCACAUUAACUCGAGCUUUUUGAACAACUCAUCAAGCAAUCGAGCCUGACAAAUGGCUACUCGAGUUUGACUCGUAUAUGUUAAUUCAAUUGACUCGAGUCAAGCUUUGACUCGCUCGCGAGCAGGUCCAGUCAAUUGUAGCCUUAUGUGGGACGCAUUCAAGGACGUAUGCAGUAGAUCUUUCUUGUCAUUCAAUUCAACUGGAGGAAACUUGUGGUCAUCCAAGUAAAUGUUUCAAUGUGCAUAAUGGAGACGGAUUCCAAAGUAAGUUUGGAGCUACUAAGCUACAAUGCCCCUGAUAGUGCCGCAUCACACUCAGCUAAAGCAGAUUAGGAAGUUCUUGGACCAGCAAUGGGAACGCAAAGCAGCAGUACCAAUGGAGAGAAGGAAAUCAAUGUGCAGACAUCUUAGCCAAGGAAAGUCUAAAUUCAGACCCAGGAGGAAAGUUUCUCGAUGCUCCACCAGAUGACUUGAGGAACCUGCUAGCUCGGGAUGUUAUGGGCGUUCCUACGCCUAGACUAAUCUCUAUGUAAUAGAGCCUUAGGCCUCCCAUUAGACCCCCAAAAAGAAAAAAAGAAAAAAAAAAGUGGAUUUUUCCAAAUUCACAUCACAGAAACGGGUGCUACAGUAAAUUAAAGACUUUUCCUCGAAUAAAAUAGUGCUUGCCACCCCGCCAUCUUCUUGGAAAGUGCUGAUAAAGUGUAUUCAAAUGAAGUAUUCCAAUUCAAAGCCGGAAGCUUGUCCAAAAAUUGAUUUAAAAUUAGCUGAAAAUGGAAAACUUGGAGCUGGCUAAUUAGGUCCUCUUAGCCUGCGGCACCAAGACUAGUUUGAUAGUCUAGCAAUUAGAGCAAGUUCAGUGAAGAGCUAUGAGCUAGAGAUGUCUCUAAUUCGUCAACUGAUAUCUCAUCCAGAAGCAGUGCAUUUUGCAUUUACUUCAAACUGACAAAAAGUUUCAGUUAUCAUAUACCUGUAUCGGUUGUUGCAUAAACUGAGACAACGAAGUACAGCAAUCAGCAGAAAAUGUAAAUUAAACCAAGGAGUCUCGGGUUGAAUAAACAUGCAUUUUUGGCAAACAAUAUGUAGUGUUCAUAUCAGUAACUAACUCAUACAAACAUCCAAGAAGAAUAAGAGGUAUAUCAGGUGCCAGAAGAUGAAGAAAGCAGCAAAAAAGAACUGCAAAUGAUCCCAAAAAAUUCAUCUUCAGCCACAUAGCCUAUAUUUACAGACAAUCAUACCAAAGUUCCAACUCAGGCCUCUUGUUUCUUAAUGGUUAAAUCAGAGAUUUCUGUGGAUUGCUGAGCAGCAGCAAAGAAACUACUUUGGUUCUUCUGAAGGAACCUGCACUCCAAAUACCACAUUUAGGAGAAGAAAACCAUGUGUGAAAUAAGAGAAGCACAUCGUCGCCAAAGAAAAUCGGAAUUAUGUUUAUAUCCUACUCCUCUGAUGCCAUCCUAAAAAUAUAGGUGAAAAGGGAAUUAUGCUGUAAAAACAAACAAGGGUGCAGAAAGAUUUUAUACUUGAGAAAGUCCACCAAGUAUUCUUGCAACUCUAAUAGUAUUGUGUCCUCAAUAUCAGCGCUGUGUAAUAUAUCGGGCAAUUUAACUGCAGAGAACAACAAAAUUGAUUAGGUAGAGAAAGAAUCACUCCAGCAGCAAAGACAUCUAAUCGUAUCCCUAAAACAAUGAGCAGCAAGACAUAAGCUUAUGAACCUAGAGGUUUAGACCUAGCAGUUGAUACCAGGCAUGUGCAUAUAGUAGGAGAACCAGCAAAGACUCCCUAUCCUGUCUCAUCCCUGUAUAUUGAUGAGUUUACCAAAACAUAUAUACCAGAUUUAUAAACAUUGUCAGUUUAACCCAAAAAAAAGUUAAACUUGAGAAACUGUUUUCCGAUAAACUUCGGUUAUUAAAACAAAAAUGAAUUCACAACAAAAAGACCUGGAAGAAAUAACAGCAUAAAAAUUUACAAUCAAGUCAGACAUAUAUACAGUUUUUUUUUAAAUUUUGUAAUCAAUUUUUUGGUCUGCGAACAAUUACUCAAGCAGCUUCACAAAAUGACCAUAAUCAGGUAGAAACAAACAUUGUUGCUUAUCAGAAUUACAGCAAAUCAAUUUGGAAUUUCACAGAAUUUGAAUAUUAACAUAUUCCAAAUAAGCUUAAAAGCAUUGACUGAAAAAUACAAUUGCUAGUUCUAAAGCAUAAAAGAUUAGUUGAUAGCAAUUUCAGGCAUUUCUCUCUCUGAAUUUGAUGAAUCACGCUCAAGUCCAGAACUCAAUGACCAUAUACAAUCAUAAACUAUACAUUACAUUUCAAAGCAAUUCUGUAUAGAUUUAUUAAUCCUCCUUUGUAGUCCAAUUUUCCAUAGACUGCAACACAACAUUUUUGCUGUGGUACAGUGGUACUUACUGUUGAUUCUCAGCAGACAAAUUUGGAAAAAAAAAGGUACUUAGGUUUCAGCACGAAGUACAAGCAUACCAAAUAGCCUCAACAAAUGUUCAGCUCCAUAUACAGCUGAAGGGGCAAUAUUAUCUGUUAUUGCUUCUUCAUAUUGCUGCCGCUCAUUCUUGUAAAGCAGCAUUGCAGGCAAAGCUUUAUCGAAGUAGCGAUGCAAACCAUUGACUACUUCUCCAACAGAACCAGCUAACCUGCAUCCAUCCCUAAAAGCAAUGCAAAAUAAUCAAAAGAAUAUAGUCAGUGAUACUCAUCAAUGAAAGAAAAGCAAAACUUUUCCAUCACUAAAAAUUUGCUGAAGUUUUGCUACAAGAGACCAGAUAGGAGAAAAUGCUAAAGCAGGUUGAACAAAGAAAGAUUCACAAUGGAAGUAUGCCUAUCUUUGUGUUUGACUUAACAUGCUCCACAACUAAAAUCAUCCAACAUUCUCUCUCCAGAUGGAUAUCAGCUCUUCCUUUCCAUUUCUAACUAAACAGUUACUGAGUCAUACAUGCAAAAAGUACUGAACUAAAAAUUCAGAACCGUACAAUAUCAAUACAGAAACAGACACCUCGAGUAACUUGGGACCAACUCCUACAGGCCUAACUUAGGACCAACUUCUAAAGAGAAAUUCAGACAUCUGCCUUUUGUACAAACCCUUUUAUUGAUUCCUUACUUAUACCAUAUCUUGCAUUGGCAUUUGCUCCUGAAGAAUAGUCUAACCACCAUGUAUACCCUGGUGCACAUUAUGAGUCAUGAUUUACCAAAGUACCAAGCAAACAAAUAAUCCAGUCAAAGUUCCAACCCCAAGGCUGUCAAUGUCAUCUAGAUCGAUAUGUAUGAUAGGCUAGUUGCACCUCAGUAGAGCAAAAGAUAAUGUCCAAGCAGUCUAGAUCUCUUUCACCAUCAGUUCAUAAAAGGAUUUUGAUAAAAACUUAACAAACUUCCUCAAUUGUAGAUUCCAAUAGAAUAAAACUUCAGGAAAUUCAGAAAAGGACAUUCUAUAAGCAUCAGUAUCUAAAGUUGAGAUUUCAGAUUAAAAAAAGAGAUAGGAACAAGCAGCAAGCAAAUAACAAGGUUAAAAAACAAGAGGACUUACCCAUCGUCCUUCUUGAGCCGGUAAUCAUAAUACUUGCUCAAGACUUCAUCAACAUUUGGAGAGCUAGGAAGUUUGACUAGCUACAAGAGACAAUGUACAGCAAAGACAAGUUGAAAUACAUGAGAAAACAAAAAGUUCAUUUAAUAUAUUGCAUAAAUAGCUUCAGAAGUACCACUUUAUUAGACACAAAAAUUAACAUUGGAUACAACAUUCCUUGCAUAUUUUCAGGAAAAUUAGGAAAAAUUUAUCAUCUGAAAAGCCUUAUGUCUCUUAAAGUAAUAUAAGACACCAAAUGCAAGAACUGGAAGAGAAGAUGGAUAAAGUUUUUUAUCACUCUAGAGCCCAAUAUCUCUGUACCUUACAUAUUUAAGGAAUCAAAACCACGAACAAUGAUUCCAUAUACACUUUAAGCUACAUGGUACUGAAGUUCAAGUUCAAAGGAUGGAACAUCCCAGCAUAAAUGUACUUGCAUGAAACGGAAGCAUUAUUACUGUAAAGUUAUAUACAUCUAAAACCUAAAGCCAGCAACCAUCUAAGGAGUGGCAUCACUAGUAAUAUAAAGAUUUUAGUCAUCUUGAUUUCAAUAUGAAGAUGGAAAGAGAAAAAGAUGGCUUAGCAGAUUGUUUUAUUCACCAAUGAAGAUAGAGCAGUAAAGCUGCUAGCUUGUCAGGAUUUUCUAUUUCAGUUUUUGAUUAAGAAAGAUCUCAGACAGCCAUGUUACUUCUGUGAUCUUUGUCUCUCCAAGUCAAUCUAAACGAAAAACCAAGCACCAUGGGCAAUUUUCCACUUUAAUGAGCAUCUUAAUAUAAUGUAAGUACCAAGGGGAUCAUCAGUACAGCCUUUGGCGGCGUUAUACCAAAGUCUGACGUCCAUAACUGAACAUUAAUGACAAAAAGAUAUUUUGGCAAUUCACUAGUUGUGCAACACAUAGAAACAAACAUAACUAUGGCACGUUGUAUAGAAAAAGUUAGUUUGACAAAUUAAGCUUGAUGCUAAAAGGUUUACAGUAGAUAUAAGACCUUCCUGGUGAUUUCAGCUACAAAUUCUACUUGCUGAAACGAGUGAUUUCAAAUAAAUCAAUCAACAAACAGUGAAGAAAUCAGUGACUGAGAAUUACUUGCAGACAAUGUAUAAGAACAAAACAAGCAUAAUGCUACAUCAAGAAGCUAACUAGGAAAUUAUCAUAGAGGAAGAAAUAAUUACCUUGCCCAAGUGUGUAACACAUUCCCAAUCAUGAACAAGCAGUUUCUUUAAUCCAGGUGGAAUAUGGAUAUUCACCCGCUUUUCUGUCAAAAGCAUUGCUUUCUCCUAGAGAAAAGCACACCGAUAAGUCCAACUGAAGUGCACUCAUUAAGACAACUCCAUAUUACAGAUAUAAAAACAAUCUAUGGCACAAAAUUUUGAGAACCAAGGGUGAGCAAUCAAGCUGCAUAGCUGGUAACACCAGACAAAAUAGACUCCAUAUGCAAUUCACUAUCUUAUAUCUUCUGUCAAGUUUUCUGAGUCCCUAGGAGAUGUUUAAUUCUAAUUGGAAAAGCAAAUAGCUUCGACACAAUCAGAAAAAUGAAAUUUGACUUGUAUCUCUUAUCCAGACCUAAAUCAGUUCACUAAAUUGCCUAUUACCUCCCAGACUGAGGAGCAAAACCACAAUGGUACAGCAAAAGUCAUAAAGAGACUCCCAUUACCAAAGGGAAAAUAAGCAUACACAACUGAAAUCUCAAGAGUUCAUGUAUGUUCUUUCUCUAAGCAGUAAAAUGUUCUCUGCUGCCAACUUAAGUGAUAGAGAUGUCCACCACUCGAGAUCACAUUCUUGAUCUGACUGAAUUCUCAAAUAUUUAGUACUCUAAUUUCUACAUGAUGCACGAAUGGCAAAAUUGUCAAGAAAAGAGAAGGUUACACAGGGAAGUAAAGAGUUCACAUCUUGCCUUGGCACAUAAUAUAACCCAUCAUCCCAUGUUCCAAGUAAUUGAGUUUCUAACCUUUAUUCUUCAGUAAUUGAGGUAUCAUGCUCCCCAUGCUCCAUAUUGAAUGAUCAAGUUUGACUGACCAUUAUAUUAAGAGAGAUUUGAAAUUUCAUAUUGGUCAUUAAAAGUAACCGAAAAAAAUAAAGAACAAACCAUACAGGUUACUUUAUAUUUAAAGAGAUAGCCAGAACAUUUAAAAUCCCUUGCUUUCCUGGUGUACGCUAACUAAGUAUGCAAAGAAAAUGAAUAUGCUAUACUUUAUAAAUUCCACAUGAGAACUUAAUGCUAUUCCAACAUAAUGCAUUCAGUUUCAGUUGGAUUGAUACAGAUUUUUCUCCUUCCCCAAAAACAAAGACACCACAGUGAGUCUACAGGGAGGAGAGACUCUAGAGCAUUAUCCACUCAAUUAAGCUAAUAGCAAAAGCCGCUACAUAUUGACCCAAAGAAUCCAGUAUAAGGAGCCUGACAUCCUAUACACAGAGGGAAAAGAGGGAAAAGAGGAAAAAGAAUAAGGCAAAGAAUCAUAAAUGCAAGAAACACAACUAAAUAGCAACCUAGGCAAGAAGUAAAUUAUCAAAAGGACACCAAAGCUCUCAUAGUACCCUUUAAUUUUCCAGUUUUGUGUGUGCAUGUGAGAGAGAGAGAGAGAGGCAAUAAUUAAUAAAAACAUUACAAUUCAAGUUCCAAAUCACUGUGGUAAAGAAAAAUGACAUAACCCAAACAUUUACCAUUUGAACUGAUCCACUUCUUCGCUUCUUGCCUCUUGCACCUGCAGUGGUCAAACCAGAAUAGCCUACAAUUCCAUCAUUAGAUACUAAUCUUUCACAAAUGCUAUUAACCAAAAUGGUCUUCAAGCAAUCUAUUUUCCUUUUUUUUUCCCCCGAGCAUAUCUUGGAGCUUGAAAAACUUAAUUUGACUUCAUGGUCUCAAAAUAGCGGUAUUCCAAUUUAUUGUUUUAAUAUAAACUUGCAAGAAGGAAGAAUAAGAAGCCAUAAAUUGGAAUUGUUGGGAUAAGUGCAGCAGCCUUAACCAAGUCAACUCAGACAGUUCAAUAAACCAUCAUUUCAACCCAUAACAAAGAACUUAAUCCAUCCACAUAUUGCAAAUGUCAACUCAAGACUCUUCUAACUGAAGUCCAUAAAUAAUAACAACAAAAAAGCAGUCUCCGUCGAAAGAAAUUUAAAUUCAUGAGUUUCAUUUUACCGAUUACUACUAUAGUUUAACUCCAGCCACAUUCCAUCACACAAUUUUUGAGAGGAAAACAGUCAGAAAAACAAAAAAGGAACCGAAAGCUAUAAUGGAAAUGCAAAACUAAUCUAACCAGUCAAAAUUUUCUGUUUGCUCCCCGGCUUGGCAUUGCUCUCCAUUUCUUGCUUUUUGUUGUGUUCCUGCUGUUUUUGUCGAUUCUCUUCAGUAUAUUUCAUCAAGCGAUCCAUGCCUACCACUUCAUCCCAACUGUAAAAAAUGAAAUCGAAAUUGAACUUCUCACAAAAUCGCAAUCAGCAUGCCCAAUUACUACACCAGUACUCUUAGAACACACUCCUUUCCCAAAGAGGUUUCUAUCCCUAUUUAAACAGUCAAAUGGUGAGGUGAGUAAGAAUGGGAUGAGAAUGAGUGUGAAAAUUUGAGAAUUCGGGCUAUGAAAGCAUCUUAAUAAUUAAUAACUUCCUAAUUCAGUCUAUUAAUAAAAGACAAACGCUCUACUUAUGAUACUCUGCAGUAAAGACUAUAUUGAAAAAAAGGGAAGUUUUUUGUGAAAAGAUUGAGUGUAACCAGCCACAACAAGAUUACAAAAUCUUUAUAAUGAAUAAUUCAAUUUGCCAAAGUGAAGAUUCUCUUAUACUAGGCGAGUGGAGAAGACUUAGAGCAUUAUAUCACACACUAUUAAGUCUUAUACCAUUCUAGGUAUACGGUUCUCACAUUGCUCAAUCUAUGUUUGGGCUGCUAUGAACUACUAAUUAUCUUGUAAUAAUUGGAAAGGCAUGGGCAGAAGACAAUAUCAAGAUAAGGCUUUGAAUGUCAUAACUCUGGUAAUUUUGUUGGGCCUUUGGACUUACAGGAAUAGGAUGGCCUUCAAGGGUAUUAAAUGUUGUCUGCAAGUUCAAAUGCUUCACGUUGUGGUACAUCUCUUUAAGUUGAAAUGCUUACUAUUGUGGUACAUCUCUUUUGGACUGAGAAUUCCCAAUCCAACUUUUAUACAUGGUCCACUAGAUCUUUAGUUUUCCAUGUAACUCUGUCACAUUUUUUUGUUAAGCCCUAUCCUUUUCAUGAAUUUUAAUUUGCCAAAGGUGAACUCUGCCUUCUGAAUAGCAUAAAUUUGCACUCUAUGUGAGAUCACUUAUUGUAGAUCAACGUAUCUUUCCUAAAACAGAUGAUUUUGCAGAUUCAAAGCAAACUAUACAUCAUUGUUGAAUCAUCUGAUAGAAAAAGAAUCCAUUAACUUCAAGAAUAAUGAAUUGUCUUAAAAGAUAAAAGAACAUCAAAGUUAAAAGAACAAUAAAAGAGGUUACCAAAACCAGAAAAAUGAAAAAGAAGAAUUAGACAAAGAUCCUCAAUUAUAAAUUCAAUAAGUGUCCAUGGGACAUUUAAUUGAGAUUGCAUACCAAAUUCUGAACUCACCUUUUUUUCCACCCCUGCAGGAAAAAAAAAGCAUACCAUAAGGAACUAGUCAAAGUAAACUAUGACUUAAAUCAAACAUUUUCAUAUUAUAAAAAAUUAUCGAUAAACCAUGUAAAUAAGUGAAGCAGCAGCAGUGAAGUGACUUGAGAAUAUAUAGAACAUGGAGUAAGGAAAGUAGAACUUACGGGAUAAUGCACUGAAUACCUCCAUUCAUUCAGUACGAGAUCAACCUUCAUUAUCUGGACAGAAAAUACAGAACACAAAUGUGAAGCACUUGCAUGUAAGUAGAAUUCCAAAAAUUAUCUGAACAAAAAAGAAAGUUCCUAUCCAUCAAAACUGGGGUAUGUAUACGGCUUUUAUAGCAUAUCAAAUUUCUGAUUGGUCAAGAGUUAUUGGCAGAAAGAAAGUUCAAUCUGUCUACAUCUAUAGUUCUUUUUCCUUCUUCUUCUUCUUCUUCUUCUGCUUCUUCUUCUUCUUUCUGUAACCAGAGAUACUUCUACUACUACAGAACUAUGGUUUCUGAAGAAAGUGGAACUAAGCCUCCAGUAUAGAGAUACAUUUUCUGAGCACUCCAGCUGCCAAUUGAUCUUGAACCAUUUAAAUGGUUGUAAAUUUACAAUUGCGAGUUUGUGGUUGUUUGACUGUGUAUAUUUGUCCAAGUCUGUCGUUGCAUUAAAACAACUAUGUCUAGUCAUUGGUGAAGCCCUUGAUCCAUAGCUAAAUUCUUCCUGAUAAUUUGAGUUGCUAAAGUAAUUAACUUUUUAUGCAACAAAGGAAAAGCUGACAUUUUUCUUCUGAAUUCUCAACUAUUAUCAGGUCAAUACCAUUGCUUUAAGCUACAUAUCCAUAACAAAUUUAAUUUAAUUCAUCCUACUUUACAAUGCUUUUAAAGAAAUUUUAUCAAUUUAAACAUUUCAGAACAAGAAAAUGAUCACGCCUUGACGCAGACAAAAUCCCUAACAACCACCCCCCCCCCCCGGGCUCCAAAAAAAAAUCGAAAAAUGAACCGAAAAAGAAAAAGAAACCAGUUUAAGUUGGAUGAUAGUAGUAAAGGGUAGAAGGAAAGAUUGAAUUUUGACAACCUUGGCAGGGUAGACACGUUGGUUAUGAUAAGCAAGGACUAGUUCUCCUUCUUGGUAGGGACUGGCCUGCGGCUGCGUGGGCGGGUGUUGGGGGGGGUUGGGUGGCAAGUCCACGGCUUUUUCGUGUUCUUUGCUGUCUUCAAUGUCGUUAUAGGUGACGGUGGUGGCUCCGCCAUCAUCUGAUAUGGUGGUGGAAUCUUCCGCAGCCACGUUUUCUGAGCCUCUCAUGAUUAUAAAAGUAGCAAAAGAUCAAGAGGAAGAAUUCUUGCUCAAAACCCAAUGUUCAGGUUGAAAUGCAUAAUCCACUUUUUGUGUUUUUGCCUUUUGGGUGCGUUUUAAGCCAGGCAGUGGUGGUGGUAGCGGUGGGAGUGGCUGUGGCUUGGGCUUUAGUGUUGUUGCUGCAACAGUGUCCAGGUGAUGAGCAGCUUUGACAGAAUAGUAGUGUGAGAUUAAAAGGAUGUGUGAAAAUUAAAAAUAAUCUUGGGAAAAAAAAGUGUUUAUAAGGAUAAAAACUUUUAUUUCCAAAUAAUGGGCUAUCUUUUUAUCUUUUACUCUUUUUUUUCUUUUAGAGUUCGAAAUUGGUUCAAAAACUUUAAGCUGAACUUGGCAUCAAGCAAUUUUAUUCCCCUCAAAGAAGGGGAAAAAAAAAAAAGAACAUGCUACAUAUUAAAAAUGAUGGUUAUAGAUUAUGCUUCCAAAUUCUAAUCGCUGACCUAAUUGUCAUAAUAGAUAUUAUGGUAUUAAUAUAUUUAUUUAUUUAUUUAUUUAUUGGAGAAAAUUAACACUUGUAGUCUAUAACCCUUUUUGAGAUGAGAUACAUAUAAAGUAAAAAGUGAUUUCGAAAUGUAUUAAAAGAAUAAUUCUCAAAAACUCCAAAAGUUUAUGCCACAAAAAUUGCAAUCCAAGUAAGUUGUCAUUAGGCCUUUGGCCUGGUGAUCAUCACCCAAGACUUAAAUCUCGGUGGCGUGGGAGGUCAACCCUUGCCUCCCACCAAUUUGUCAUUAUAUGUGGCGACCUUAAUUGGUCAUUUUCGAUUGAGUUUCUACUCACAUCGAGUCUCCCUCCCCCUCCCCCUAGAUUAGACUAGAUUAGGUUAUAGAAAUUUUAUCGUUGCGACAAAAAAAAAAAAGUAAGUUGCUAAUUUAUUGAUGACAAAAAUAAUUUUCUACGCAUCAUCUAGACGGUUAAUAACCAUGAUGACGGACAAGAUCUUGUGCUGCUCAAGAAAUGUGUAGGGAAAUUUUCUAGUCCCAAAGUUUGGGUGAGGUGAUGGGUGAAUUUCAGGAUUGGAGCUGAAUGAGCAGUUGAUCAUAAAGACAAUUGGAAUUUCUUUGUGGAUCCAAUCCAUGGGAUCUGCAAUAGUAUAUGUUUUAGAUUUCUCAAAACAUUUUCAAAUUUAUUUUUGAGAAUGAACAAUUUACGUUGUCAUGCAUGGAAACAUUAAAUGCAUAUGGAAUUGACCAACCCUUUUUUUUUCUUUCCUUUUUAUUUUUUUCGCUUUUCAAUUAAUCUGGCUUGAAAAACGAAAGACAACACCCUUUUCUUAUUCAUUUUCCUUUACCUUUAUAAAUGAAGGCUGCUUUUAUAGCAAUUCAACUAACUUCAACUAGCAAUACAAAUUGUUGGGAUUUCUUCAUCAAUAUAUUUGGAAGAGCACUAGAGUUAAAACAUUCUUUACGUUAUAAGCUGCCGAUUGAAACUUGCAGUACUUUCUUUUGGUAAAAAAUUUGCUGUACCCUUUUCAAUAUACUAGCAUUAAGAAACAUACAAUUCCUAAUUGAGUUUCGAUCGUCAUAUUAUGCUCUAAAAUCAAGUUUAAAUAACACUUUCUUUGAUUAAUGGAAGCUUUUUCUUCCAUGUGGAAUAUUAAACUCAAACUUCAAUUGUAUGGAGGCAAUUACUGGUCAAGUCUACAGUCUACAUGGUCUCAGGAGAAGAAUUGAACUCAGCCGGCAUCCCCACCUUCAAAGAAAGUAUUCUUGAUGGUCAAAAUACCACUAACACAUUUCAUCCCAUCUCUUAGUGGAUUAGUCUCUUUUUUUUUUUUGGUGCAAGAAUAGUAGAUUAGUAGUGGUUACUUCUCCCUUGCAAUAUACUCUUUUUUUUUUUUUUGCAGUAUUUGGUAAUAUUGCGUGCCAUUAGUGUUAAAAGUGGAAUGGGAAAACACGGUGCUGUGCAGGGGAAAAGAAAAGGGGUUCACAACUUCACAUGGGCUGUGCAGGCAGGCAAGCAAGUGAAUCAAUUAAUCUGCUGAAUAUUACUGCUUUGCAGCUCCAAGAAACGGCAACAAAAAAUGAAUACAUGAACAAAUAAAGGAAUGCUUAUAAGUACUAAGAAUGAAAGAAUGCAAAACUCAAACGUUAGCAUGAUGAUAAUCUUGAUUCUUGCUGUAGCUAGUGGCCUUCACCAGGACUAGGCCCCGACUCCUUGAUCGCCUCCAGAGAAUGCCCUUCAGUAAACUGGUGUCCUUUUCCAUCACUCGGGCCUCCAGUCUUGAUAGCUUCGACGUACAAAUCACCAAUUUUAGUCGUUAUUCCUACAUCAACAGUGGUUUGAGCCUCUGCAGCCUUCAUGGGACGAGCUUCAAUGCUCAUAAAAACUGAGUUCAGAAGAAGAAGAAAGAAAAUCCCAAAAAACCUGGAAUUUGACAUGACUUUGACUUGGCUUUUAAAUCUCAGAAAAAUUAAUAAUACUGUGGCAAUUACAAUAUGGGCAAUGAUGGUGUAAAUUUGCGAGAGAGCAGUUUCUAGUUUUCCUUGGAGAGGAGAAUGAUCUGCGAUAGAGAGCAACACGUACAUGCAUAUAUAUAGAGCAAGGAAUCUUGGGGACUAAGCAGAUAAACUGUAGAAGUUGUGG